rnacentral:lncRNA from 1 species
UGCCAAUCCUCGUAUACACUUCAACCUGCCAUCUGCAUAUGCACCUGUUCACCAUUAAUACUUAUCGCAUACUCUCGGAUGGAAAUCAAAUCCCUGCAACAGCAGGGGCGCUCGGGCCCUAUCCCCCAGACCCCAAACAGCUGCCGCUCUUCUCUUCAGUGACCCUCUCUCUCCCCACAUCAUGCAGCACCGUGUUCCCACGCUACGACUUUUCCAUGGAUCCUGUCUUGACAUUGACUGUUGCGUCCACUCCACCCACACCCCGGACUGGCACCGCGGCACGGGAAUGUCACACUACACCUCGCCCCAGCGACCACCACAACUGCCACAACCAUGCAAGGCUGCUCUCCCAUUGUUCGCGUGUACGCAGGGCAGAGACCCACCGGCCUGACACGGGAAUCUGUGGCGCGAGGAAAACCCAAAUAAAAAGCCCCAAUCCAGCAGCAGCUUCUGAAGAGACCCCCCCGGCAAGGGAAACUGAGCUAAGGCUCCUCUCACCCUCCUUCCUUCCUUUACACUGUACAAAUUGUACAAUACCGCCGCUCCCGAGUUGCAUUGAAAGGGGGGGGCCCCAUUUCGGGCGCCUUGACACCCCCAGGUGCAACGUAAAAGCGAAACGCAACCCUUCACAACCUCCGGUGUCGCCCUGGGAAUGAGAAAUAAGAGCCCCCUCAGGGCAGGGAAUCUAAUAGAGCAUCAUCAAGCGUCAUGAUAUACAACAACAGCCAUUGUUUUGCCUGCUUUUGAUUACAAUUUACCUCUCCUAAUACGAAUACUCAGCCUUGCACCCUCGGCCUGGUACGCAGUCAGUUGGGGGCAUGAGGCAUCCUAUACCUGCCAAAAGGCAGGUCAUGAAACACGUCUGCUAGUGCUAGUGCUGCUGCUGCUGGUACGCUUCGCAGCUGGGCCAGACAUUCCUCAACGGUGCCUCGAAAGGGAGCUCGGUGUUCUCCCGUUCUUCCUUACAACCAUACAGACAUGCACACAUGCCAGGAGAGGGAGGCGCAUACAGCCCCGGAGCCGCCGCCGCUCCCUCUUUUCCUCUCUCUCCUGCUGCCCCUCUCUCCCGCACUUGAAGCUCGCAGCCUCUCGCCUCGGUGUCACCUGGCUAGGCCGCUAACUGCAAAAGAAGUCACAUGGGGCCCUCACACCCGACCCCACCCCAACAGCUUUGGCUGGGGCAGAUAGAGCCCUAUGGAGCCCUUUGCCCCCGUGUACACCAUGUACUGCAGAAAAACAUCGAAUGCCGCCGUCGUCAGGAGCCAUCAUCCCCAUCGCGCAGUGGUCUUCCCUCCGCACCGCCCUCCUCCUUCUCCUCCUCCUGCUCUGUAGUCUCCUGUCCUGCCCGGGUUGUGGCAAAAUGGCCCUCCUCCUUUCGGCGCUCAAUCCACACUCGUCCCACAAGCUCCGAAACCCCUUGAUGCCACGCCAUGUCACACCACACUAAGCACCUGCUGCGCAAAAUUUGGAUCGACGUCCCAGCCGAGCGAUGUACACACAGCAUCUGCCCCUCGCUGAGAAAACUGGUACCCCGCCUUCGUGCCCUGCAGCGCCUGACAUUCUCUCCUUCUUCUCACCCGCCGCCGCCGCCCUAUUGGCGAACCCUGUAGUAAAAAGGAACUCCACAUCCCCCAAAGAUAAAGCCCGCUUGGGUUAGAAAAUCAAAUCAAAUGAAAUUCAGUGCCGUACCUUACCAUAAAGCAAACCAUUCCAUGGGCUUGUCUUUGUGACACUUACUUGAAUCAUAUUGUGUGUCGCAGUGCAAAGUGUACCCUGUACUACAUGUGUAGGAAAAAGUCUUUCCGUACUUCCGUACACUUUCCAGCCCUAAGGGGAAUCCAGUGUCGCACUGCGUCCCCAACCAACCGGGAAAGAGAGAACCACACCAACCGACCGACCGACCGACACGGCGUGUGCCAGCUCUCACGUGUUCCUCUGAGAGCUCUCCCCCGGACCCCCUUACACAUACGUGCACGCGCAAAGGUACCCCUCAAGAGGACACUCGUCAUUUUUGUCUGAUGCUUGCAGGCCUCCGGAUUAGAGAGGGUGCUCACGCCCAAACCAAUCAUGGCCCGCGAGAAGCGUCGGUGCAGGCGCUAGGUGAUAAACCCUAAGCCAGCAAGAUGCCGCCGGUGCUUAGAAUGCCGCCAAGUGCGGCGCACUAGGGCGAUGUCGGUUAAGAAAAGGUCACCGUUCCAAACCCCAGACCCCACUCCACCCUACCCCACCUAACUUAAACCCCUCCCCGCUCUUUUACCCCCCCUCCCCUUCUAUCAAUUUCACUUUGUCUCUCUACUACCACGCGCUUAUACCAACACGGAUGCAUCGAGAAGGACGGACACACAGACGAACUCGAAGUCAUUCAGGAGGUCGCAAGACGUGGUUGCGGAAAACGGCCCUGGGGACCGGCACGCAACAUUAGAUGGGGGUAGCAGCACCACAUUCUGGCCACGCGGCUUUGCUCUAAGCGAUCUAUUAUUUAUCCCCAAUAUUCUACAAUAUUAGCACCAAACGCAAAUUCCUGCUCCCCCCCCCACAAACACACAUAGCUCAGCUGUAUACACACACAAACAAGAAAAGCACGCGCCUGCAAAACACACGCAACGGGGUAGGGCGACCGAUGCGCUUUCCCCCGCCCCGACCGACCCCUCUGCCGCGUUUUCUCUACAAAGUCUCGAAAUGGAUGAAAUGCGCUGUUCAGGACUCCCUCUCUGCACCGCUCUCCAUUGUGAAGUGCGCACUGCAACAAUAGCCACGCCCAUACGUACGUACGUACAUACAUACAUACACAGGGCACACAACCCACGUCCGCCCCAAGUCCAUGCCUGCAGGGUAGAUCCGCUCUUCUGGCCUCACCCGCGUUGCCGCCACCCUCCGUCCCUUUCACCAUCAUCCGCUCUGCCGCCAUCACUUCACAUCACAUCACAUCAACGCCAGGCCGUAGCCCAUUAAACCCCAGCCCGUGCACAUACAUACAUACAUGCCGCAAAGUUGUGGCUCGACACCGCAGGGGGCUACUCGCUAUCCUCCUUGGCGAGUGUACGGAACAGGUGACGGGGUCCCUCCUUUUCCGUCCAGCCACACGCAUGCCAAGACAUACAUACAUACAAAGACAAGAACAGCCGAACACACGCACACCUCCACAACCGCAACAUCAGAUGAUUCCUAACCGCCCAACCAAAAGAAAGAUUCAACAAAGCGGGCUCCUAAAGGCCCCACUCCUCCGAAACCUCCUCCGAAACCUCUUCCUCCUCCUCCUCCUCCUGUGGAUUACCCCUCCUUGACGGAUCCCCCUUUGUAGGCGUAAAUGUGCAGGCAGGGCCGGUUUGCGCGCGGCGGGGCAAUUAGUUGAGCGAUGCACCACUGACAGGCAAAUGACAGACGAGAGGAAGAAGAAAGAAGGGCCGAAGGCGGUCCGCACUAGCGGGACCUGUGGUGACCCAGUGACCUUGCGGUGGGCCGAAAAGGAUGCAUGCAAUGCAGCGGCGCAGCACGCGGCCCGCGCGGAGAGCUUUCCUUCUCACAGGCUUGCACAGCCUGUCUGUCUAUCUCUCUGUCAGUCAGUCUGUCUGUCUGCCGAAUUCCCACUCUGUCCUCUGGCCUGAUGACUAUUAGGUGGCUUUCCCAGCCUGGAGCCCACAGCUACCAAACUGACCCAGGUGCGUCUGACCGCGUGUGGACGACGUGCGGCGCGAACGACGACGCAGAAGCACACUGGCGAUCAAACAGCAAACAGAAUCAAAUCAGGGGUGGAAAAAUAUUUCCCGUGCAGUUGCAGUUGCGCUGCGCUGUGCCGCUGCCCUGCAUCAUGGAUUUUUAUAAAAUCAAAAUGGCAACCCCUCCGCCCCACGCCCUUUCCCAACAUAGCCCACCAGCCAGCCAGCCAGGUCAGCCAGCCAGCCAGCCUUCCCUGCACGGCACCUAGGCACCUAUAUCGCCCAUGUGCAGCCCGGUCAGGCCCCCCCCGUCGGCCGCUUGACGAAGGAACGCAGCCGCUCCGCCUACCCCCCCCGUGGAAUGACGCCCCCGGGAGCGCCAAAUGUGAGUAAGCGAGUGUCUGUGUGUGUGUGUACGCGGGUUUCCGCUCAAACCAAAGCACCACCUAUCCUCCUCCCUACAACCGCACUCCUCUAGUAGCCCUCCGCCCCUCCCUCUCUGAGCUGCUGGACACAAUACCGCUGGCGGCCCCGCUCCCUUCCUCUCGCCCCUCGUCGCGACACCUCUUACGAGACCUACCUGCCUACCUGCCUGCGCCACAUGGCAGUCCCAGCAAUUCCAGUCCCGGUGCCAGGACUACACGCAAACCCAGAUGACCUACAACCCACAGAACAGCACGGCCGCCACCGCCGCCACCGCUAGAGCUCUAGUAUCCACAUCAGCACCGGCACACCCCAGGGCGGGGGCAGGUAGACCCCGCCGCGGAGACCCCCUACCUCGCGGGUGUUGCGACCGUGCCACAGCCACCUCCACUGCAACCACCGACACGACCCCCUGCCAUGUCUUGCACAUCGUCGCUGGGGCCACGUCCCCCCGCGCCGGUCCCCCUCCUUGGCAUCAUCAGCUUCACGCACUUGUGGUUCGUCUUUUGUACCCUCCCUCAGGUUACAAACCAGGCGGGGAGCUUACUCCGCCCCCGAGCGGGACGAGAGGGACCGCCGUCGCUCCGAAACCCGCGGGGGCCAAUCCAACGGCGGGCAACGCCGCAGCCGAUGCGCCGCGGGCCAAGACCUGGGCCUGCUGCUGUUGCCGCGGCAGUAGCCGCAGCCGCUGCUGCUGAAGGCCCUGAGGUGACAUUGGCGCCGCCGCAGUGGCGGCCGAGUCCGGCAACACCUCCGCCAGGGAUACUUGCAUCGGCUGCACACCGCCGGCCGAGGCGCUGCCGGCGGCAGCAGCGUACGGCUGCGCACCUAGGAAUCGUAAAGGAGCGGCUGCCGUCAGCGGGUAGCACACUUGGCCCUGGCCCGUCACGGCGGCGGCGGCGGCGCCGGCGGCGGCUGCAUUCGCCUGCUCCGGCCAAACCGAUCCUGCAACCCCGUCCUGAUAAGGCGCCGAGCCAGUGGCCUGCACCCAGCCGUACAACUCCGCAGUGGGGGUAUGGCCAACGACAGUGCCGACGGCAACGGUCGCGGUUGACGACCCGGGAACCGAAAUGUACGGGAGUGGUUGUAACGGCGCCGUCGUGGCGUGGGGUUGCUGGCCACCGGCGGCGGCCGCUAUGGGGUACGUGGUGGCGGGAUCCUGUGUAGCCGCCGGCGCCCCGCCCACAAUCAGGACGGGCGCUGAUGCCGCCGCCGUCGGGCCGUUCCCCCAACUAAUCAGCACCUGCGGCUGUUGCGGCGGCGGCGGCGGCGGUUGCGGCGGGCCCCCCGAAAUGGUGUAAUGACCCAGGUACUGCUGCUGCGCCGCCUGCUGCUGCGCGGCCUGAAGCUGCAGCAAUUGCUGCGUCUGGGCUUGCGCUUGCGCCGCCGCCUGCGCCUGCCAUGCCGCCUGCAUGUGGGCUUGCAGUUGCUGCUGGUGGUGCAUCCGCAGUAGGUGGCUCAUAGCGGCAGCCUCCGCCGUCAGCUGUUGAACGGUAUCGGCGGUAGUGCGCAACGCAUCAUCGGCGGCGCCGGACGCCGCCAUGACGGCUGCGGUGCCCUGCGCUGUGGUGAUGCCGUCCGGCCCCGCGGCGCCGGCCCCAGCCGCCGCUGCGGCUUGCCGCUGCUGGUGAUGCAGCGCCGAAACCAGUGUCCGCAACUGCCCGGCGGCCGUAGACGUCGCCGCCGCUGAUGUCAGCAGGGUCAGGGCCGCCUCAAGAAAGCUGCCGUUGCGCGUCACUGCCGACGCUUGCACAGCCGUGAUGCCGCCAACGCCGCCGCCGCCGCCAGCCGCUGCGGCAGAUGCCGCCAGCUGGGCGGCCAUUGCUGCCGACGCAGCAGCGUCUGGCCCUGACAUCGUUGCCACCGCCGCCGCCGCCGCCGCCGCGGACUCGAACGCAAACGCGGUGUCAUGUCGCUGCAGCUGAUGCUGCAAAGACGGGUAUGGUGCAAUUUGCGACUGCUGCAAUAGCAUAUGCGGAUGCUGGUGCUGAAACGGAUGUUGUUGUUGCUGCUGCUGAUGUUGUUGUUGUUGUUGCUGCAUCACCGCCGCUGCGGCCGCAGCGGUAGCGGCUGCUGUUGACGUCAGCGCCGGGCCUGAUGACAGGAAAAGCCGGGCCAGCUCCGCCGCCUGCUGCGGAUGCAGCGGCAUCGCCGCCGCCGCCGCGGCCGGUGCGCCGUUCUGCCCGCGUCGCGUGUUGACGUGGUCGGCCAUUGACGCAGCCGCGUGUGUGAAGGCCUGCACCACCGCCGCCGGUGGAGCUGGUACGGAGGUAAUCGCUGAGAUCAGGAGAGACAGCUCUCGGUAUUGCUCCGCCGCGCGGCUGAGGAGAUCCAAAUCCAGGAGGGGGUACGGCAAGGAGGCACUGGGUGGACCAGGUGCGCCCCCUCCCCCAGCGGGACCUCCCGUCACAACCGGUGGGGAGCCUGAAUGGGUUGUGGCUGUGGUGGCGGUGGCCGUGUCGCUGGUGUUGGUGGCAGCGGUAGCGGUGUUGGUCGAGGCGGUGUCAGUAGAUGUGCCCGAGGUGUAGGUGGAGGAGCUGGGAGAGGAGGGAGAGAAGGGGAAGGCUGCGGGGCUGCAGUCGCCUGCGAGGUUAAAGGGGAAGAGGGAACGGGGGAGAAGGGGGAGUGGGAGAGGAUAGUCGUGGUAGGAAGGGGGUAGGGUUGUGUGGGAAAGGGAUCGGAUGGCGGGGGAAAGACGAACCACAAACGAGUGAAGCUGCUGCCAGGAUGGCGGGGGCGGGGGAUAAUAUGCAGUGCCAAGUUUUGUUGCCCAACGCCGUCCAGUGCGUAGUGCUGCCUAGUGCGUUGCUGCACUUGCCUGUCCAUGCCUACCCAUGUCAAGCAGAAACACCCCAAUCAUUAAUACAUAUUACAUUGCAGCGUAGAGAGUAGAUAGAGUGCCGAUGCCCGGAGGAGAUGCGCGGUGUGGAGAGGGUGAUCCGGAGGGUAAGAGAGGCGAGGAUGACUCGUGUGCGGUGUACGACACACGCCAUAAACCCAACGUCUCCACUGCCGUACAGUGAAGCAACCGACCCACCUGAGCAUUUGUGAGUGUGGGUCGUAAGGCCCGCCGCUCGGCGACGCGCCGCGAUCUGCUCCGGGAACAAUUUCUCUAUGGUCUCCCGAAGCCUGAUGCAGACGCCUAGAUGGAAUACGCGUGAAAACAUAAGCAUAUGGCAUAUGUGUGAAUAAAUGAGGAGAGCUGAUGCACGUGUUAAACUGCGCGCAGUCCCCACAGCUGCGAUACCAUCCCCUCGGUGGAAGCAGCACGACGGCAAAACAUGGAAAACUCCCUUACGGCUAAGGCGCACCAAAGACUUUUCUUCCAACUCACCGAAUGACUGGUCGGCAGAUGGAAGCAGGACUGCGCGGCAAAUGGGGCACAGAACAGGCUGCCCUACCAACUGCCGCGACACUUUCCAUUCUUCGAUACAAUGCUUGCAAAAGUCAUGCCCGCAGCUCCCUGAAACAUAAACAGCCAAGGUGGAGCGUGAAAAGGAUCCGAGGCAAAACUUCUUUGCGGACGCCCAACGUUCCCUCUGUAGACCUUGUUGGCACAGUGCAGCCCAUGAGCGCAAUGAGGCAGGUUGCUAUAAUUUCUGACCCCAUGCUAACUAUGUUUAACUAGAACGCACAUGAUUUCGGCCCCGGAUAACUUCAUCUCUGCCAACUUCGCUUCAUCAUAAGACCUGCCAAAUCCCACUUACCAACUACGGGGUUAAGUAGAAGAUCGUAACAUAUUGAACACUGGAAUUCGCUUGCGUUCCAUUUGGGAUGAGGCGAGGACAGCCGGGCUGGAAUGCUAUUCACAUCGCAGUCCCCGUCAGUGCUUGUCGCGCCAGGCAUCGUGGUGCGCCUCGCGCACACCAGGACUAGGAAAGAUGGUUACCAGGGUCCCUAUGGAAAGGCUCUUGAGUACGCAGUGACGUUCCAGAGGAGAUAAGCAAAUGAAACCGUCGACGGCGUCAAUUUACUCAAGGAGGAAACUAUUGCAAAUUGUUUAUUUAGUAAUUGACCGCCAGGAAUGGCGGCCAUGCAUAUCUUGUGCCAAAAAUCAAAAAAUAUCUGCUGCACGGAAAAUAUCUGCCGUAUAGGUACUUCUCCUGAUUCUUCCUAGAGAUGAGACUUUGGUAGUUUUGAAAGUCCUCUGAUCACUAUGUUGUGUGAACUUAGAUUGUGAUGGCAAUGUGCAUUGAAGAUUGCGGACGAAAUCUCGACGGGCUGGUGCGGCUCUUGGAUAUCCUACCACACGGCAGGAGAUGUAAAGAAUCCGGCCGCGUUAGGCACCCAUACUCAACUCGAUGGAUUGAACCUAAUAUUUUUACAAGGCAUUUAUCCUACACGGCGUUAGCAUUCGGGUUCCCCUACUGUAGUUUACAGGACUGUGCCUGUCAUCUUUCAACCGAUUUGGGCCGUUUUUUUGGAUGCCAAUCAAAAUCCUUAUUGCAAAAUAAAGCAGAUAACUUUAUUAAGGCUUGCGUAUAACAGUGUCCGGUUACAGGAGUACUGAAAGCUAUUACAGGAACAAGUCACUUGCCGACGGCUGCGCAGGAGAGGAACCAGUGGAGGCCCGCGCAACGGGAAUCGCAAGGACCUAGAAAACUUGGGAUGUAAAGGAGGACAAUUCCAAAUGACUGAUUCGUCAUUACUCCUUGGUCACACCCUCAAGCAGCCAAGCGCGCGCUACAACGCUAGCCAUACUGCUGCCGGCUGAUCCUUUGGAAACCGCUUGCUACAAACAUGCGAAUCCAGGGCGACGGCAGCGCUUCCAUGCCUCUUGUCUCUUCCUUUCCACCCAUGUUGAUUCGUGUCAGGGGUUGGGAGAUUAGUUUCGACUGACCACACACCUUGAAGAGAACACUCCUCCGCAUCGGCCACACCAGGUGUGUGGCCACGUGGUCACAUCGCGCGUGUCUUCCUCAGCUACCUCUACGGGACGGGACGAGAACUCAUUGACUUCAGACUACGACGUACGAGAACUACCGGACAACAGGUUCGCGGACUACAGACCGUACAGACCUUGCUGGGCUGAGCUGGACGUCAGGCACAGCUUGCGUCGGCUUGAGCUGGCAUAAGCAAAAAUGAAGUGCAAUGAGACCACAAGCUAGCUAUGAGGUUAGCGUCUUUAUUGAGCCUAGCGUGGGCGAUUUCGUUGGCAAGUCCACAACGAGGGGGCAAGAGGACUUCGCAACGGCUGCCUUGCAGGGCCCGUGCAUAGGCCUCCGAUGAGGGUGAGCAGCACACCGUAUCAGAUCGCUAUUGUCAGGGUGUCGUCGCAGAGAUUUGGACAAGCAAUAGCCUACCAUGGACGCACAUGAAAUCGUGCAUCGUGGACCUGCGCGACAGAUGAUAGUACGGCACAACCAGGAACGGUCGCAACGACUCCAGGUUGUCGUUCCCACAAAACUGAAUCUGUGUGCUUUCAAAAAGAUGACGAUCCGUUUCGCUCAACAUAAAAUUGUUUAAUGUUGCCAUUACCUGAGCGCGUCCAGGCCUCCAGGCCUGUCCGUGAUACGGUCGGCGUUAUCCGUUGAGCCAUCACACAUUGCCGUUGAACACGACUUAGUAAGAUCUUUGUGCCAUUGCAUAGGCUCUACUAAAUUUUUAACCUCUCUCUUGAGCCGUUGAUAACUAGUAGAAUGCCUCCUGAAGCCGCACCUAUGGAGAACGGGUCUGCCAAGGCUGGUGCCUUCACUAAACCGCUCAAUGAAUUGUUUAGUUCUUUGCCGACCACGAUAUUUGAGGUCAUGAGCAAGCUUGGUGGGUCUAUUUUGUCGACCGGGCCGCCGCAUGGGUGCGCUGAAGAUGUCUAGGACAAAUUCAUCGCUCGGGCGAAGACACACGAUUACAUGCAUGAAAUUAAUUACUGCUGGGGGGCGGUUUUGUCACGUGUCAUGGCCACCGAUUCCUUUUCCCCUUCUCCUGCGGGUCCGUUUGUUAGCCCAUCGAGCAGGGACCCCUUUUCGUUUUACAAGAUGAUACAUUCCUUCCUUCGCAUACAUUCCUUCUUUCUUGCCGCUCUUCCACGUUUCAGCACAGAAAUUCAGAUGCGGGGAAGGCAACGCGCGAUCCUAAAACCUUCGCAACCGCGCCGCUUGCUCCCCACGAUGCACACCGGAAUACAUCCAGCCCCCUGCCCCCAAACAACCCCAGGGCGCUCCUCCCAGUUCCCUUACUUUCUGUUCCAUUCCUUCGCUGUCUCUUAUUUCCCUCGCCAUCCUUGCUCGGGCAAAACCUAGUAGGUCCGCUUCUCUCUCUUCCUUCCCCGGUUUGCUAUUCUGUCCCCUUCCGCAGCCAUGGAGCACGGCUCGGUCAACCUGGGCCAGGGCUUCCCCGACGCAGAGGGCCCCGAAACCAUGAAAGAAAUAGCCUCCAAGGCAAUGUACGACUUCCACAAUCAAUACCCCUCUCUGUUGGGGGUUCCUGAGCUUCGACAAGCCGUAGCCCGGCACAGCGAAACCAACCAGGUGCGAGAGGGGGAGGAAAUGACGGGUGGGACGGAAUGGGUUGCGGGGCGGCAGGACUUAGGUGCCGAGGAUGACGAGUGAACCAGUGUCGUCCUGCUUCACCCGCCUCCUCCCCACCUCCCCCCCCCCAAUGCUGUUCAGGGCAUUCCAGUGGACUGGGCUACGGAGACGCUGGUGACCGUGGGGGCUACGGAAGGUCUGGCGGCCUGCUUUCUGGGGCUGCUGAACCCUGGCGACGAGGUGAGUGGCUGGAAGGUCGGGUAGGGGACUGGGAUGGGGCCGCAGGGAGGCCAGGUAGGGCUAUUAGGGCGAGAUGGAGACCUAGGGUAAGAUGUGUUGGCGGAGGCAGUGUUCAUCGGAUCGUUGCGUGGGUGUAUCGACAGCGAGGUUGAGAAGGCACUGGUGACACCCCGGACCCGGCCGGGAGCCAACGCCUGUGGGGGCAUGGGGGGUAACCACGAACCGCCUCACCACCAAUAUGUGUGAAUAUGUUGGUAUUAUUGUACGUUACUAGGGCGGUGGUGAAGUGUGUAAGGACUGGGUCCGGUCGGGGCGGCGUCCGGUCAUCUGGUCGACACUUUCCCUAGGAGUCUAGCCGGAGUGCUUUUGCGACACAAAAUACUGCGACACAGAAACGAGUAUCGCGCCGUUUGCCGGGGAGAAGAGCGUCAUGCUCAUCCACAUCCCUGGUUGCGCGUCCUUCUCCGCCGCGCGGCUCCGCCAUUCCCCCCGACUGCCGUGAUUGCUGCCGCUGGUGCUGCUAACCCCCAACCCCACCCCACCCCGGCGCAGGUGAUCAUGUUUGAUCCCAUGUACGACAGCUACGUGUCCAUGGCCCGCCGCAGCGGCGCCACCAUUGUGCCCGUGCGCCUACAGCUGCCUGACUUUUCCGUACCAUUGGACGAGCUGGCGGCUGUGGUGGGUCCGCGUACCAAGAUGAUCAUGCUCAACAGCCCACAUAACCCCAGCGGCAAGGUGUGUGGGUGCGAAGGUAUCGGUCUGUCUAUCCAUCUGCCUGUCUGUCAGUCAGUCUGCCUGUCUGCCUGGUGGCUCCGAACCUAUCUAGGUCUCCUAAGGGCUGCCCCCCUCCAGCAAUCGGUGCGACCUCGCCAGCCUCCCCAUCAGCGACUCAGAGUGGGCGUUAGAUUCCUUCCGAGGACGUGAGGACCCCGGACCCCCCCAACGAGCUGGGACCACCCCUGGCCGGGCCCUCCCCGCAUCCAGGUGUUUACUCGGUCCGAGCUGGAGGCCAUAGCGGAGCUGUGCAUCCGGCAUGACGUCAUUGCGCUGUGUGACGAGGUACGUACGGGAAGGGGAGGGGGGAGGGGAGGGGAAGGGGAAGGGAGAGGGGAGGGGGGAGGGAAGGGGAAGGGGAGGGGGAAGGGGAGGGGGAAGGGGAGGGGAAGGGAGAGGGGAGGGGGGAGACGCACACCGUGCGAUGCAAACCCUUGCGCAGCUUAGAGCCAUCGUGCGGGGCAGGACGGUGUGCAGACGGAGAGGUUCGUCUUACCCUCGCGUACCCCCACCGGCCCGUGACGGAAUCCCCGCGCAUGCGCUCAACGGCAGAGGGUGCUUUGGACAUCGGCACUUGGCCAGUACUCCCCGUCUUGCUACAUCCCUGCUUUUCCUCCUGUGACCUGGGGCAGGUGUACGAGCACCUGGUGUUUGGCGGCGCGAAACACAUCUCCUUGCGUGCGCUGCCGGGCAUGGCGGAGCGCUGUGUGCGGCUGGGCAGCGCGGGGAAGACCUUCUCCUUCACCGCCUGGAAGGUCCGUCAGCUGACGACACUCUUAGUCCAUCAGUCCGUCCGUCAGUCAGUCAGUCAGUCAGCAGUAGCAAAGAGAGGGCAAACCGAGGGGACGGGUGUGGUAGACGGGCGGCGAGCGGUGUGAGCAGCGGUGCGGUCCCAGGAGGCGGGAUGCCCUUCCUUCAAGCCAUUGCGCAGCGAAUACGCUGAAGCUCCGGGUGCCUGGUGCCUUUUGGCUGCUCCCCCUUAACUUCCUUUCCGGGGCCUGGAGUGCGCCCUCUCUGUCGCCGCUCCCCAGUGCUGGUGCCCUCAUCACAUGCCAACAGCAUUCGCGAAUGGCGUCAGUAACUCGUCACACGCUGCUCGUGUUGUCCUGCGGCAGGUCCCCCGUCGCUGCCGCGUUGCUGCCUUCCUAGGCGCUCCCCUGUCGCCCCUCCUCCGUCCCCCGCGCCAUUGCCACCGUGAAAUCAGUAUUGCCCUGGCCUGGAAUACUAUCUGCGUCUAUCUAUCCGCUAGUACAACAAACCUAGACGGCAUUCGGCGAUGCGUCGCCCUAGAGGAGUGUGUUCUACUCGAAGUACUUAGCUCUAUUUUUCCCCUCUGGGGCUCUCCGGAUUCGUUUUUUUGCUGUCACAGGUUGGCUGGAUGACUGGUCCCGCUAGGCUGAUGAGUCCCAUCAUAAAAGCCCACCAGUUUCUUGUGUUCACCGUGCCCUCGAGCUUGCAGCGAGCUGUGGCACACGGGCUCGAAAACGAGUCGGAGUUUUACUUGUGAGUGGUCGGGCGGUGGGGGAACUACGAUGCUGUGUUGCUGAUGUUGUUGUUGUUGCCGUCGUCGUUGCUGCUGCUGCUGCUGCUGUUGCCAAGCUGCCUUGCUGCAGCUAGCUGAGAUGCGGCGGACGGAGGAGGCCGGGCCCCAGAGGCAUCCAUCGCGCCCUUGCUUCUAACUUCUGACCUGGUUGGCUAGGUCAAUUGGGAAAUCCACAACCCCCUUUCCCCCCACCCAAUCCAAUCAUCCCAACACCGCCCAACCCGACCCCAAGAUCCCUGGGUCCCAGCCUGGGGGUGAAGCGGCGAUACCUGGAGGAGCAGCUGGCGGCAUUGGGGUUUGGAGUGCUGCCCGCACAUGGGGCGUACUUCCUCGUGGCGGACGUAAGGUGGGGGAUAUCGAUAUGUGUAUAUACCCGGACCCCACAGGACACGACACGAAAACCUGGACGGGGCGUCAUGGGGCGUCAGUUUGUCAGCGGUGACAGCGCAACGACGGACCACCACCCUAGGCCCAUUCCUGCUGGGGUAAUGGUUUCUGUUUGCGGGUGCGUGGGUGCGUGGAUUCGCCCAUGUGUUUCACGCUUUCCUCUUUCCCUCGCCCCCGCCUGUUCCCGCCUGCACAGCAAGUUCCUGCGGCCCGGAGAGGACGAUGUGGCCUUUGCCAAGCGGCUAACGGUGGAAGGUGGCGUCACCAUCAUCCCCAUCUCGGGCUUCUACGUGGGUUCAAGCAAGCCAACCCACUUGGUGAGGUUCUGCUACUGCAAGGAAGACGCCAAGCUGCAGGCGGCGGUGGAGAGGCUCAAGGCUUAUCUGGGUCCGGAAAGGGGCCAAACCGAAGGCGGCGAUGGAGAGGGGACGCGAUAGCUGUUGCGAAUUACUGGGGCACGGGGCUGAAUGGCUGUCCAAGGCGCCCUGAGAAGGUUCAGGGCAGGCGCCGGAUGGACUGGGCAGGAUUGGGGUUUGAGGGGAGGAGGUUGUGUGUUGGGGGGCUCGUUGGUAGCUUGCUUGUGCUUGGCGUCUGCGACGCGAGCCGGUGGGGGGAGUUGCGGAUUGCGGCUGUUGGGACUGCAAGCAAGGCUCUGAUUGGGCGCCCGAGUGGGGUAUGUGUGUGUGUGUGAUAUAGGGAGGGCGGUGCAUGUGUGUGUGCGUGUGUGCGUGUGUCCAUGCAUGCGCACGACAGGCCAGAUAUGACCGAACGUGGAGUGGGUACCGGACUGGCUUGUUGCCAGACCGGCAGGCCUCCAACCCCUGGGGGGCCCCUGUAACGCCAGGGAUAUGUGCAAAAUAACUGCUUCGUGCAACCCGGGGGGAGGGCCCGCAGGACAUAUGGGCCAGAGGAUAUCUUGUGUUAGUAAUGAAAUGUGAAAUGGAAACAUGCGGCUUGCAAGUCGGGCAUUUUCCUGUGCGCUGCCAGUUUAUUGCGUUGCUUUUUGCGCUUCGCAGUGCCAGUACAGUGCUAACUGUGAGCCCGAUGAUGCCUAUGCUAUUGAUCCUGGCGUACGGGGACCAGUUGCUGGAAUCUUAUGGCUGUUCCCUUUCCUCGUUUCGUUGUCACCGUCAAUGCACUCGGGCCCGUCAUUGCCGGCCGCCCUGGAAGGAAGGCGGUUUCCUGCUGAUAGCUGCGGCUCGAGUUUACUUUGCGCAAAGCGGUUCAAUGGCGCUGGCGCGCCCACCUGCGUCUCUGUUUUCUCCGGGAAACGGCUGCCGCGUGUACCCUCGGCACACAGAGGGGCCGAAGUGUCAAAUAGGUCGCAACCGUGACCGGAACGCUGCGGCGCUGUCAAAGACGUUGUACAAUGAAAGUUUUUGCCACAGGUCCUUUGGACUCAAUUCUGAUCUUACUUCCUUGAUAGCGCUUGAUUCCAUGUGUGUGUAUGUGUUACAUGGUUGGGGGUGCGUGACCCCAUACCUGUAAAACUACCCAUACGAGCCGAAGGCCCAAGGGCAAUGUCUAUACGCCUAAAAGCCACGGAGAACAGGAAACACCGCACAUCAGCCCAGGCUAGCGUCCAAACGGGAUAACUGAGUUUCGGUGAGCCCACAUACGUUCCAACAUCCUCGCCAGACGCACUGGUUCCCAUUUAAUGGCCUCCAACAUGCUCUGUUGAUGAUCGAAUCCCUCUUCAGCACGAAUAUCAUUAUAGGCUGGGGAUUCCAAUAACACGUGUUUUUCAUCCUCGAUUCGGCUAUUAGUACUACAACAGCGGCAAAACCGCUGCUCCUGGGGACAUGGUACUUGCCUCUUCGUGCUCUGUUUGCCUCCAAAGCCCAGCAACAUAAACGAAACUGCAUUAGCUUACGAUGUGCUAAACGAGGAAUGAAGACCUUAGCAUGUGUUGGCCACAUGACGGCUGCGGCUCCCGAAAAGGGCAGCCCCAUCCAGUGCUUUUACUUCGCCAUUUGCACUCCCGGUUGCUUCCCAUCUGAUGGGUACUCCUCUGGCAAGACAUUCAUACGCGUAUGUAGCAUGACUAUACCUGGAAUGUGUAGUAGCAUGCUACAUGGAAUAACUAAACGAGAACGCUAAACCUUUCAAAGUCACGAUUUUGGUGUAGCCGGAUGUGUGGAUGGCUCUUCUCUUAGCUCCGUGGAAACUGACACCCUAUUUGUCUGAAGGGUAUGGAUAGGGAGCUGUGGAUGCGGGUUUCAGCGCGUGCGUGGAUUGCACGUCGGAACGCUUGCGGACUCCGAUAGCGCGGAGUGCGACGUGUGCACGUGCAUACGCAUGCGCACCGUUCCCUUUGAACUUAACUUAUCGGUUCGUUCAAUGUCGGGGUUGGAUUUCAUAUCCAACGCUUUGAUAGGUGUCGUCACCUUAUUAGAUUUAAGAAGCGUUUAAAAGCACGCGGGCCUGAGAUAAUGUUCCCUUCGUCUCGUGACCCCCGAAAUGGAGAGAAUGGCAAAAGAACGACUGAAUUUCUACGAAUCUGGACUCUGAAGGCCCGCGCGGCUAUGAGCUACAUACCUGGCGGCGGUAUGUAAAAGUCAAUGAAUUUAUAUGCGUCGUGUACGAUGUGUUGGUGGGCUGACUACGCCGCUCUCGCACCGAGCCGAGCCGGUAAACCCCUUAGUUAAUUGUAGCUUGCGGUCCGUGCGUCGAUCUGCAGACAGCUCAGGAGCCAUGCGUGGGUACUGCAUGUUUCCCGGUGGGCACAUCGCAUAUGAAGGGGAGUGGCUUAGCUAGUAUUGUGCACAGAUUACGGGAUGCCGGUGUGUAGCAGCGGCGUUAAAAAGGCCGCUCGAGAUGCUGUGCAUCAACACCGUCUCGGUUAUAUAUUUGAGGGUCUCCUACCUAUAACAACUACCGUUGUUACACGGUUUUUACAAGGUUGGUGGGCGGGUGUUCACCCUAUCCCUGGGAUCUAGGCGUGUUCUGCGGGGCUAUGCUGCGCGCUUAGACGAAGGACACAGUAGCAGGCGGUUACGUAAAAGGGGUCCAAGCCUUGUAUGGACGGAUACUGCAUGGCAACCACCGCUCGCAAAUGCACGUAAGCCGCGGAUUCGAGCGUAACGUUGUGGUCCAUGCGCAGUAGCGCAAGGUGUGGAGCCGGAAAUAAUUACAGCAGCAGACAGCCGCCCAUAUAGAUGCACAUGAUUUAGUUGCAUGUCGUUGUACUGGGCCCAAGCGGAAAGUGCUGGGACGCAACCUGAAGAUUGCACUUGCAGGCACUUAGGGUUGGCGUUAAGUGGUUAGGUUUCACUUGCGCAUCGCCGUCUGCCGGGGGGUCACUGAAACGAACAAAGGAACGAACUCCUGGCUAAGGAGUAUAUAAUGUUGUAGCAGUCGGUAAUCCUCGAGCAAAGCAGGGAGCGGGGAAGCGGGGAGCGCCAUUAAUCGCCCCGUGCAGACGGUUGGGAGCGAUAGGGGGAAGGGAACCAGUUGCCAACACACAGUGAGAUAAUAGCGCGCAUGACCCUCGCUCGUGCCUUGGCCGCAAUUACUGCUGCUGUUGCUGCUGCUGUGCGACACCCGCCAAAGCUGUCGACGCCUGUUGUUGCUUAUCAUUCACUCCUUGCGCGCCGACAAUAAAAUGAGGUAAAGACCUAGGUUCCAAUAUGUUUUAUCGACCCUCAUACGUCGGCAGCGCGAGCGCGCUUCAGUUGGCCUUCGAAUCAAGUCCAGUACCAUGGAUUACGGUGUUGCCGGUCUUCAAACAGAGACUUCCCUUGGUCAUCAGGCCCACUGAAUCUCAGAGAUUGUCGCAAAGACAUGACUCUUCUAUCCUGUCUGGAAAACUGAGGGACAACUCACAGCCACUUGUGUACGGCUACCAGUACGAGUGUUUUGCAUUUGUAAAUUUGGUGCUUUCCCUCCCUCCGCCCAUUCCACAAGCACUGGCACGGGGCAAAUGCACCGUAGCUAGCAUACGCACAGUAUUUCCGUCUUUUGUUCUUUGCUCUAGAAGAUCCCUGUCGGCGCCAAGCACAUCAAGUGCUUUACGGAGCUUUGUUUUUAAGCUGCAAGGCUUCCCAAUAGACGCGUAACUUUAAGUUAAUCGUCUUGGGAGUUGCCUUGCUCUGUAGAGGCGGGAGAUCUGCUAGCCAGUCACGCGGGCAAGUGCCUUUUGGGCACACCAUCUGGCUUCUCUGCACAGAAAAUCUACAAACCCAGCAUGGCGGUCGUGAUUGACCUUUCUGCGGCGCUGGCGUCCACCUUUAGCCAUGAUGCGAGUAUCCGUCAACAGGCGGAGCAGCACCUGGACCAGCUGAAGGAGACGAACUUUCCGGGUUACCUUGCCAGCAUAACAAAUGAGCUAGGAAAUGAGGACCGCGCGGACGACAUCCGUCAGGCGGCAGCGCUGCAACUCAAAAACUCGGUUGACGCGAAGGACGCGGUGCGCCGUCAGGAUUUGAUGGCAAAAUGGCAGGGAACUGAUGCUGCUCUGAAACAACACAUCCGUGACGUGUUGCUUCGGUGCCUGCACUCUCCGAAAGGUGACGUAAGGAAGACCACAGCGCUUGUCAUCGCGAAAAUCGCGAACAUCGAUAUGCAAUCCAAAGCGUGGCCUGCGCUUAUUCCAACACUGCUAAACAACAUGGCAGCCCAGCCUCCCGCUUCCGUUGGCACUCGCCAGGCGACCCUUACGACGUUCGGCUACAUCUGCGAGGAGGUCGACGAGUCUCUGCUGUCGCCCGAGAAUGUGAACAUGAUUUUGACAGCAGUUGUUGCUGGAAUGGGGCAGUCAGAGCAGGACGAUGUGCGCCUUGCUGCUAUCAAGGCGCUCACAAACGCUAUUCACCUUGCAAGGGGUAACUUCGAGGUUGAGACGGAGCGCACCUACCUCAUGACGGUCGUGUGCCAGUGCACACUGGCAAGUAAUCAGCCGAUGCGGGUGGCAGCUUUUCAGUGCCUGCAGCAGAUUGCUGAUAACUACUACCCGAAGCUUCAGUCGUACAUGACUGAGCUGUACCAGCUCUCCACCAAAGCUAUUAAGGACGACGAGGACGAGGUGGCUACCCAGGCCAUCGAGUUUUGGAGCACUGUUGCAGAGUAUGAGUUAGAGUUAGUGGAGGACGGGAAGGAAGAUCAAUGCAAGAACUUCAUCGCCAGCGCUGCCGAGUACCUGCUGCCCCUCAUGCUCGAUUGCUUGGCGAAGCAGGAUGAAGACUCACUGGAGGAUGAGGGGACUUGGAACCGCGCAAUGGCCGCUGGCUUCUUUUUGAAGCUGCUGGCGCGCAUUUGCAAGGACCGAUUGGUUCCCCAGGUAAGCACCAACAAACGUAUCUACCCAUCCUAGAAGCUGUUGCUAACCGCUGCCACAGGUUGGAAGAUUGUUUGAGAACCAGUCACAGCUCUGGGCGUUGGUCGAUCUUAAUGGUUGCCUCAGCAGACUGUAUGGAGGGCAUUGUAUCGAACUUCCUAUGCCCUCCCAUGAUUGUGCAGGUGCUUCCUUUCGUUACGGGUAAUAUUUCGUCCCCUGACUGGCACUACCGUGAGGCGGCUACAUUUGCGUUUGGUUCCAUAAUGGAGGGCCCGGCUCCAGCGGCUUUGGACCAGUUCGUGCGGGCAGGCCUUCCCUUCCUGAUGAAUGCGCUUAAGGACCAGCACCGCGUUGUGCGGGUAUGCAAGGAUUGUGUUGUUUAAACCUUUGGAAUUGCAGCUUCUUGACGCGAAACAUUUGAUUCAGCUUGCAAGGGGGAUGUACUGGAAAACACAUGGGAAUCGCUUGCUUCGUCGAGGGGGUCCUGUCUAGCUUUCCAGAUUGAUGUGUGCAACAACUCGAUAGCUCAUUGUUCUUGGCGCAUCCUUUGGUUUAGCAUUACCGUCCUUACCAAAAACUCAUGUUCCCCGGAUGCGUAGGAGACGACAGCUUGGGCGCUAGGCCAAGUAUUUGAACACCUGCACGGGAACGAGGCGGAGGGUCAGCCGCCCAUCGUCGCCAAGGAGAGCAUUCCUCCCUUGCUGUCCGCGCUGGUGGCAUCGCUUAAAGACGAGCCGCGGGUUGUCUACUAUGUUUGUGACGCUUUACGCUUCCUGGCUUUAGGCUUUCAAUCCUCUGAGGGUAAGUUAUGCUUAUGCUAGGAAGGUGCCCGAAUGAGGUUUCAAGCAAUGAACCGUGUACGCUUUAGGUUUUGGCACGAUCUUGGCAAUAUGUCUGCAUGAAAUGACGAAAAAAAGAUCUGUGACAUGCUGAAUCUUCGUGUAGGUGAAACAACACCGCUGUCGCCGUACCUGAAGGACCUGGUCCAGAACUUGUAUGAGACUGCCGAGCGCUUCCGCAGCGCCCCAUGCGAGAAUAGUGGAAAAGCACAAGUUGCCGCCUACGAGGCUAUUAACGACCUCGUCCGUUCGUCAGCACGAGACACUUUGGAGUUUGUCGGUACCCUACUUCAGGUAGGGAGUGCUUGUCGCACUAGGAUUGAAUUUGUUCAAACAGACUUGGCACCUGUUUCGUCUUGCACCGUUUCAUUCGCAGCAUGGUCCCGGUAUCUGCUUAUGUUACCCCAGGUUUGUGCAAAUUUUUAAAAUUGAAUACCAACUUAACUCUUAUGGUUCGUGUUUGGCAUGGCCCAGGUGGUCCUCGGCGCCAUCAACACAAAUCUGGAGACGCAGAUUACGUCGCAUCAGGCUGCGGAAAAGAUGGCAACUCUGCAGGGUCAGCUCUGCGGCAUGCUGCAGGUCUGCAUGGAACGGCUUUGCCGCAGCGACGACGCACGGGCUGCCCUAGUGCCCCUUCGUGACAAGGUAACGUGAUUAUAAUAUAAAUUAUGUCCGUAGCGUACUUCCAACAAAUGGGCGUUCAGCAGUAACCUCUUACCUAUGGCCGUUAUGUUCGCAAUUCUCUUGCUUGACCUUCGUCCACUGAGGCUGUUCACUACCCUGUCCCUUUCUACGUUUGCAUCCCUGCGCUUAAUAGAUUAUGGAGACGCUCCUCCAGGUUAUGGCACGUACUCAGUCGGGCGCCGGUGUUCAUGAGGAGGCCAUGCUAGCGGUUGGCACUUUUACAGUGGCGGUGGGCAGUGAUUUUGAGAAGUAUUUGCAGAACUUCAUGCCCUUCGUUCGCGCGGGUCUCCAGGAUCACAUGCAAUGGCAAGUUUGCUUGUCCACCGUUGGCGUCCUUGGGGAUGUUUGCCGCGCUGUCGGCGUGGCGCUUUGGCCAUACUGCGACGAACUGGUGUCGAUCAUCCUCUCCAACUUGGGGUCACCCAAUGUGCACCGGAACAUCAAGCCGGAGCUGCUCACGGUGCUGGGUGACAUGGCAUUGGCUAUUGAGGGGAAUUUCGCUAAGUACUUGGACGCAGUUGUUACGAUUCUGCGUCAAGCCAUGGCUAUGAGCAUCCAGAUGGUUAGCAGCCAGGGUAAGUUGCGGUAGCUGGGAUUGGGGCUCCUUCACUUUACAAACAGCAAGUUGAGUGGGGGCAUCAUACAGCAUCACGUGGAUAUCUGUUCAAUUUGUAUAGUCAUGCCAAUGUGUUUCAUGUUUCGCACAAAAAACGAAGUUUAUCCCUCCUUGUGCAUGCCAGAUUAUGACACGUAUGACUACAACAACUUGCUCCGUCGAGGCAUCAUCGACGCCUUUUCUGGAAUUGUCCAGGGCCUCGGGGACGAUAUUACAAAGGGCACUGGCAGUGGGUCGGCAAGUCGAGACCGUCUCACGGCAGAGCUGCCCGCUGUGUACCAGUUCGUUGCCAGUAUUGGAGCAGAUAAAACAGCGGGAGAUGCCUACGAUGAAGACGUGGCGCGGGCUGCCACCGCCUUGCUAGGCGAUCUCUGCAGCGUGCUCCCGGUGCGUAUUGUGCUUUUUAGCACGGGUGUGGUAAGCUAGGGUUUUCCAGCAUGGAACUUCGCUCUGAUCGUCUUUUCCCGGUGUUCUGGUUGCGCUGCUCCAUCCGUUUUCCAGUCCCCUAUGUAAGGCCGAUUUUCCUUGUUGCUGCAAACAGACUGCUGGAGCGACGCUGGCGAGCUGCCCCAACAAAGAGUGGACGAUGCUCACUAGCUUCGUUAUCUCGUGCAGCGAUGACUCGCUCUCCAGCAACAACGUGAACUGGGCAAUUGAGCUGCUGAGGAAGGCCACGAACGGCGCAUUUUUUUAAACGACUGAUUAGGCACUGUAACGGGUAGGCAUGUUCCUUCAAUUGUUGUGUAAUGUUGGUGUCGUUUUUUGGCGUGCGCGAAGUCCUUUGUUCUACUUUUUUUUGGCAAUCCAAGAUUUACUAGACAGGAAGAUAUGGUAGUAAGGUCGAUAAACGAGCCGGGCUAGGGUUAGCGCUCUCACCAAAGCUCAACUAGCCCAUAAUGAAAAGCGGCGGUUGUGGUAUGUCAGUAUUUUCGUUAAUACCCGUAAAGAGGCACACAGUGGGCAGUAGUCGUGGAGCGUUAUAGAUGUGUCUUUCGGAGGUUGUCUGGUGUGGAAAUCGCAGGUUUUCGUGGGAGAGGCAGGUGGGGCAGGACGAGCCGGGCCCCGGUGGGGCCGUAGCUCUUGUGGAGCAGAUUCUAGUUUGUUAUGCAGGGUUAAGCUACUGCGCAGGAUAGGUUAUUUCGCUGAAUUAGUGUCCAUGUUCGUAAUGUGUGAUUGUGUGAGUUGGAAAUUUGUGGUGGGAUGCUGCGUUAGCGUGCUGCUGACACCAGCUAGGCAGUUAAGGGUCCGGCUUAUGCCUCUUUAGGGUGAUGGGGAUCUCACUGGGUUGCUGGUUUAUGAGCGGAAUGAACAUAUGACUUGGCGUGAACGAAAGUGCUGUGUUAUAAUCGCAGUCGUGUAAAGAGUCAAGUGUAUGACAUGUUGCGACACAAAUCGUCCAGGUAUCAUCGAAGAAGGGCUGUGCACUCCGUUCUGUGGAGGCCGCAGGUGCUACUGGUGUGACUGUGUGCUCUUGCUUGUGCGGGGCAGGACAUGAGAUCUGGAUGGGAGUUAGUAAGAGGAAGCAGGUUUGCCCUUGCGCCUCUCUCCGUGCUUCGCGGUGCAGUGCCAGUGCAAUGCAUUCCGUGUGAGGUGAUGUGCGUGCAAAUACGCGUGUGUAUGUCCUGAAAAGUCCGUUUGCAAUGUUCUUCUGAAGUUUUGCUUAUUGUUUGUGUAUUCCGUUCCAGUCGCUUUGGCGACGGUUCGCACGGUCGAAGUCCUAUUGGAUCUAGUCUGCCAGGAGCAGCAACGCGCGGAAUCAGCAAUUUUCGGGAACUGCUGGAGUGUGAACUUAAGAAAGGGCGAUUUUCCUGGUUUGGCCAGCAAAACUGUUGAAACAAGAAUUGACGCCAUGACAACUGAAGUCUUGUUAUGUUGUGGUGGUAUUCGUGUUGAGACCGUCACCGAUUAUCACCCAGUCGACCUGAGUCCGACAACAGGUGGCUAAAUCAGGCACAGCUCUUGUUCCUUUGCACAUCUUAGGGUUUCCUGAUGUGUUGUACAGCAUGACGUAUCCCUUUUUCUGCCCCAGGUCCUCACCCGAUUUCCUUUAUGGAGGCACAAUCAAUUCUUACAGCGGAGCCAGAAAGGCUACAUAUGAUUACAGCAGACGCUGGGGCCUCAUCCUUAAGCUGAAGGACUCUAAAGCACGUAGAGGGUGUGCCGAUGAGAGCAUACGGCAUGGUGAAUGGUGCGGGUAAGACGAUAUGAGGUUGCAUUAUAUUACAUCCUCAGAUUGCAGCUGGUCGGACCGAUCUGAGUCAGAUUGCACGCAGUCCUGGGGGCCCUGACUCGAAGUCAGCCCCACCCUGGAGUUAGUUGGUACCGCUUUCAUGUACUUCCUCAAACAAACUGCUUCUCUAGUACUGUGAUGUUUUAUUUGUUAUAUUCAAGAAAACUUAACUGGACUUGCAAGGCGCCACCGCAGUUGCCGGUGCCAUGAAAGCGCGACCGUCCCGGGACACAGCAUCAGGCCCAGAAAUAGACUUAUAACUCCANNNNNNNNNNNNNNNNNNNNNNNNNNNNNNNNNNNNNNNNNNNNNNNNNNNNNNNNNNNNNNNNNNNNNNNNNNNNNNNNNNNNNNNNNNNNNNNNNNNNNNNNNNNNNNNNNNNNNNNNNNNNNNNNNNNNNNNNNNNNNNNNNNNNNNNNNNNNNNNNNNNNNNNNNNNNNNNNNNNNNNNNNNNNNNNNNNNNNNNNNNNNNNNNNNNNNNNNNNNNNNNNNNNNNNNNNCUUGCAAGUCCAGUUAAGUUUUCUUGAAUAUAACAAAUAAAACAUCACAGUACUAGAGAAGCAGUUUGUUUGAGGAAGUACAUGAAAGCGGUACCAACUAACUCCAGGGUGGGGCUGACUUCGAGUCAGGGCCCCCCGGGCGUCUUGCAGAUUGCAACCUGUCCCAAAGGUCAUGUACGGCAAAUUAUAACCCGCAGAUAGCUAUUUUCCAGAGCUGCAAUAAAUUCAUUUGCGAUAGCACCUCAGCGACAGCACGAAGCCUCAACAGGACACCUGAGUCGCUCGCACUAAACUGCUUUGUAUUGCCAUGUCACAAGCUGCUGGCGCGCCACUCCGAAAUGCCUUUGAAGUUUUAAUGAAUCGUUGCCAUGAGAAGCCUACAAUCUCAAGACAGCACCCUCGGAGCAAAUCGAAGCCGGCCUCGGUUAAGUCGCAGUCCUCACCCAGUUCGCUUGCGUCGUCAGUAUUGGAUUUAAAAACGUCUCAUGACGUGAAGCAAACAUUCGCUGCGCAAUUGGACAAAUCCUCCCCUGCUGUGAAACCAGUGACCAGCAGCCAUCAGCAGGUUAACGAAAAUAUGGCACGAGCGCAGCCAAUGACUGGCAUAGGAAAUGAGGCGCGUGAGAGAGGCCCUGACUUAUCGUCCCACCCUGCGGAAGUGCCGUGCACUACGGGCCGGACCGCACCUGAGGGACCUCAGCAAAAACGGGCACGGCUGAUGGCGCCCUUUCACCGCCCUUCAGCAAGGACGCCCUCUCGCCAAGUGGGUCCAGGGAAUGUUACCGGUGCGGGUGCCAGGCCCGCCGUGCCUUUUCAGUCGGCGUCUACGGCGUUGUACCUAGGGGUCGACAGGCGCGCUCCAGAGGAGCCUGGGAAAAAGAAAACAUGUAAUCGGGUCACCUGUGCCGUGCGGCCGUGACAGCGGCCGCGACCACGCGGAUAAUGCCUCUCGAAACCACCCGGUACAUAGCAUCGUGGCGGCGUUUGCAACAUGGUUUCCUGCGCUUCAUGAAAUCACCCCUCGGCUUCGCAUGUGUGGACAUUUCCUCCGUGGUAUUUACUCCAUGGUAUUAAGUCCUUGCAAAUUAGCACCGCGACCGCCUCCCCAUACACCACCAUCGCCACCACAACGCCACCAUACACCUUUCGGUGCCCGCGCAAGUUGGCCGUCGGGCCGGGGCAGCGGCGGGUCGGUACCCAAGGCCGACGAGCACCUCUCCUGCUGCUUUCCCAUGGCUCCGACCUCGUGCUCUUUCAAUGCUCCGAAACUCCACCGCCCCGGUUACUGCAAUCGCACAUAAUGACCCCGGCGCUUCCCAGCCUCGGCCUCCCUUUUCCGCAUACAGCCGUUCGUUCCGGCCAGCUGCACAGUUCACCUGUAAAAUGAAACCUACUGCCCCCAUCCUUGUACGUGCCUGGCUGUGAUGUGAAGGGGUCCACACACACUUUCCCCCUCCCGCCGUUCCCCCCUUCCCAUUCCACCGUCCCCUGCCGGCCCCCAUCACCUCCCCUGCCAGGUACACGACUUGUUCUUGGUGCUAGAUCUGGAAGCCACCUGUACAAAGGUACACGAGACAAAUGGUUGUAGCUCUGUCCAGGGGUUUCCAGUGGACAUGGAGGACCGACCGUUGGGAUCACUGCACGGUCCGAGUAGAGGCGCAAGGGGCAAGAGUGCACACCGUUUUGGGCACCGCCUUCCGGCUGCCGGACCCUCUGGCUGAGCUCCGUCAUCCACCAUUUGGGAACAUGGCCACCAUGUCUGAGCCAUUAUAUUGUAAUCUCGAUUUUCGUCCCCCCUCUGGAUCCCCGCUCCUGCAUGUGCCAUCCAUCCGCACAUAUACGAUUACGAAACUCACACAUUGUAAAUGCACCCCUCUCCCACCUUCACCUGCGCCAUGUACUUGCCCGCCGUGCAUCCCCCGCCGCGCAACUACGCCGCCAACGAAACAGUGUCGCAGCCUCUACCCCAUCGAGAUUAUCGAGGUCAGCGCGCUGCUCCUGGACGCGCACAGUCUGGCCACACUGGGGGAGUUUCAGUCGCACGUAAGGCCCACGGAGCACCCCCUGCUGGAUCCCUUCUGUGUGGAGCUGACGGGCAUCGAGCAGGAGCAGGUCGGGGGGGAAACACACGGGGGGGGGUAACUGUGGAAAGAGGGAAGGGGUGAGGGUGGGGAGUUGCAGGAUGCUGGUGAGGUGGGCGGGCGGGUGAUUGGAUUUGAAUGGGUGACGUGGAGAAUGCAAUGGUACGUUUUUUCAUGAUGACGAGGACGCGUAUGUGCGCGUGUGUGUUCAUGCCAUCUAAUGUGACAAGUAUUGCGUACGGCAGGUGGAUACGGCACCUCUGCUGGGGGAUGUGCUGCUCAGGUUCCAGCAGUGGCUGGAGGGGCUGGGGGCUUUUGGGGGGGCCAAGUCGCUACUGCCCGUCACGUGGACAGACUGGGACCUUAAGGUGAGAGCCGUCGUAAUGUUACCAUUACCCGGUACUAGCUUGACAUGACUGUUAAGUCCACCUUCCCAUUAUCAUAUGCCACGUUACACACGACCCUGGGGCCCUCGGAUCGCACUGGGCGGUUUGCAGGUAGGGGGUACGCAACCCCACGACCAUGUAACACACGCGCGCGCGCGUGUGUGUGCGUGUGUGUAUUUGUUACAUGUUGAUCUGGGCCUGACACUGGCCAGGAGCACCUAUCCGUACACCAACGGGAACGACCCCCGAAGCACUCUCCUCCUUGUGGGGGGAUAGUGGCAUGAGAGAAAAAAUGUGUGUGUGUGUGUGUCUCUGUCGUCGACCACCCAGCGUCCGCCACUGCCUCCCCACUUCACCGCGACCCUAGAUAUGUCUGGAGACGGAGUGCGGGUGGCGCCAGCUGCCGCGACCGCCGUACCUGCGCCGCUGGUGCAACCUGAAGCGAGUGUACGGCGCCCGCUACCGCCGCGCCAGUAGUCUGCAAAAGUGCGUCGAGGCGCUGGGUACGUGGGGAGCGUGGGGGGUGUUAAUGCGAGAUGGCGGUGGUGGGCGGGUCUCUAGUAUGUAUGUGCGUGCAACCCCCAGGUCUCCCCGGGGUGGCACGUGUGUUUUUCUUAUGGCUUCCGGAGCCGCGAUAAGGGAAGUGCUAAUCGUGGUUUACGAUUAACUUCAUACCGAAGCGCGAGCUCCGAAUAGUCACCAGCGACGUGUUAGGAUUUUCCGAUGUUAAUUGAGCAUAAAGCACCCCCUCUAUUGAAAUUCUAAGUAAGUGUUGGCUGGAGGAGUGAUGCCUGCCAAUGCCAGCAGUCGGAAUGGGCGGCGAUGUGAAACAAGAACAUCAAGAGAUGUCGGCAGAGCUGCAGCAGCAGCAGCAGCAGCAGCAGGAAGUAGCAGACUUUAGCAGUACCUAGCAAGGAUAGCUGAUCACGCGCCAAGGCACUGUGUAUGGGCACUGUAUGUUGUUACAGAGUGGUUAACUUCGCCAGCGGCCCCUUUCCCGGGCAGUCCCUGCUCUCCCCUGCUAGAGGGGCACCCUAAUCCGUCACCCCAUCCGACUUCAGAAUGUAUUCGUUGGGUUCGGCAACUCACCACCAGCAUCCAACCAAAUCCAGCGGAUCAACGGCGCAUCAACUUAGUUCCUGGUUAGCUCGCAAGAUGAUUUUAUCACGUCCUACAUCAUCCAUAUGAUGAGGGGCCACCACCCAUUUCAUCACUCCUCAAACACCCGAGGAGCCGGCAGGCGGAUAUGAACCCGGGUGGGCCGGGAGCAGAAGUCAGGCCUUAACCUCUGCCAGCCGCCUGCCUGUAUGUAUGUAUGUGCGGCGUGAGGGCGCAUACUUGCUAACCUGGCCUGUAAUUGGUCAAGUGGUACAAUCCGUCGUCCGGUACUCGUGUACUCGUGUGAUUUCCUUUCCCGCGUAUUGUGGCAGCGAGUGCAACCCACCACCACCACCACCACCCUGGGUGGCGACAUGGUGGUGCUGCCGCCCCCGCUGCCCCCGCCGGCUGGCUCCUGGUGACGACACGUUUACUAAACCUGGCUACCACCGCCACCACCACCACCGGGGGCGGGGGGCCCGGGGGCGGGGGUGUGAAUCCGGUUUGUCGCCUCGCAGGCCUUCGCUGGCAGGGCCGGGCUCAUAACGGUUUGGACGACUCGCGCAACACGGCGAUGUUGGCAGUCAGGAUGGUGCGAGAUGGCUGCGUGCUGACAGUCACGGACUCGUUCAAGGACACGGUGCCAAGCACGGACCAGCCGCUAGCCGCCACCGCCACCGCCACCGCCACCGCCACUGCCACUGCCACCGCCUCCACCACCACGUCGCCGGAAGCAAGAGCGCCGUGUACUGGGCUGUAUCGGCCGGAGGAGGAGGAGGAGGAGGAGGAUGCGCCUCCAGGAGACGGUCUGGCGGCGGUACGCAGCGGAGAGAUGGAGCCGGGGACGCCCCUGUCCGCGGGAGUUGUAAGGAGUAGCAGCGGCGGCGGUGGCGGCAGCCGGGCGUUGCGACAGACAGUGCUGAAGCUCAGUACGGGUUCCGUGGCGCGGGCGGAUGUACAGCUGUACGACAGCGCGGGCCGUUGGCUAGGCAAAUGCAAGUGCGGCGUGGCGGCGCACUUUCGUACCACCAAGAAGCCGGGAGCCAAUCUGGCCAGGUGGGGUUGGGGAGGGUGGGUGGGUGUUGUUCGCCUGCGGAGGGAAAAGGAGGGCCUGACAGUGCGUUUUGCCGCGAGCUGCGCGGCCGGCCGCAGGAGUGCGCACUCCCCCACCACCGUCAGCGUCAGCGUCCUCCGCUCUCGGCUAUCACCCACCGGCCGACACCCUGCCACCCACGUCACCUUCCCUCUCCCUCCUCUUCUUCGGUCGUCCGUUUGGCGGCUUCGUCAGCUGCUUGAAAUCCGUUGCUGGGCCACCUGUGCAUGAGCCCACUCGCACCCCGCGGCCCCACAGGGCCCGAUGUCGAUCAGAUCACACAGCGCCCUCCAAGAGCAUUCACUCCUGCUCCCGUCCAUUCCCUCCCCCUUUUUCCCUUUCCUCACCCCGCCAGCUCCAACCCUCCUACCAUAUUCUUCAUCUUUCGUUUACAGACCUUCCUCUCCCCCCCCCUCGCCCGGCCCCACCGUGGCUAGGCAGUUCUACAGCUGCGGCCGGUGGUCCAUUUCCGACCGUUCCAAGCAAUGCAGCUUCUUCGCCUGGGCGGACCAGCUGCACAUUGCGCCCGGGGUGGUGGCGGCAAGGACACCAACGACACCAGCGGCAGCUGCGGGCGGCGGGUCGGGGUUGGGCUCCGUGGCAGCGGCUCAGCCGCGCCGCCAAGGGGGGUCCAAGCGCGGGGCAACGGAGUCCCAGUAGGGUUGCAGCGUUCUAACUCCCAUCGGCCGUAGGCGGGGCCACAUAGCAACGCAUCGCCAUCUGACAUACGUACAAUCCGACUUGGGAAGCUGACGGACGAAUCGGCGCAUUCGCCCUUCAAUUCCCCUGUUGUUAUUUCCUGUCCGGGGGUGCUGCUGCUGUGCGGUACAACGAUGAGUGGGCGGACCGUAUGGGGGCGGGUUUGGAGGAUUUGCUGCUACCGGUCUGCUGCGGAAGUUUCAAAAGUCUGACGUCCGGAGGACCUCCUUGAUUGUGAAUGUGUCUGUAGGGUUAGGAAUCAUUUGGAUGCAAGGAACGCAGAAAUUCACGUCCGGCGUUGUAUGUGUAUAUAUAUAUAUAUAUAUGUGUGUGUGUGUGUGAGAGGGGGGGCGUUUGGUUGGAGGAAGUUGCAGGGAAACACCACACCUCAGUGUAUAGCUGCGCGCUCAGUGCAUUCCUGUAUGCACGUGUGUUUGGUGCCCGUGCCGCUGGAAGGUGGCAUGAAAAGCCCGGCCCCACGCCCCACCCUCGCACAUGAACACAACUCAGAGCGAUUAGAUUACAUGACCGGGCCCACACCCACAAUCAGAGGCUUCCUUCACUUCGAGCGGGAGGACGGGGAACCCUCUGUGGGGGUACACGCCAGCACACACCCUCACCGUACAUGUCAAACACCUCCCGACACAGCGGCACGAACUGCCCAAAAGCACACCUCCGAGCCUGCCGCCAGGCGCCCAUCAACCCCCAUCACGGCGCGCCACACAGCUUUGCAAACAAGGCUCCCCGCAUCACGAGCAGCUGAUGGUCAGCCGGCCAGCACCCUCACCUCCCACCUCCACGUCGCCCGCCGAUGGGAGGAGGCUCGUCGCGGCGCCGCGCCCCGCCGCCCCGCCGGUCCCCCAGUCCCUCCUCUCCCUCGCGACCAACACGCCGCGGCCCCGUCCGCUCACCAUAACCACCUGCACCAUCCCUGUACUCAUCAUCAUUAUCAUCAUCAUCAGUAUCCAGCCAACGGCUCUGUCGCUCCCUUCCCCGCUGCCCCUCGCCGAUCGGGGCCUCGUACCGCCUCCCAAUCGCCCGAGUACCCCCCCGGCCGCCAAACACACCGCCAUCGUCGUACUCCUUCUCCUCCUCCCCCCCAUCACCGCCCGCACCGCCCCCUCCCACUCGGCCCUGGCGGCCCCCACCCAGCAGCUUCCUACGGCCCCCGACACGACCAAAGCUUUCUGCCUCGCCCUCGUCGCCGUCCUCAUCCAACCACCCCACGCGGGACCCGCUCCGGGUGGAGCUGCUACCUCCUCGACCACCGCCACCAGUACCGCCGGUGGGCGUGCCGCCGCCACGCCGCCGGCCAGUGUCCAGAUGGGAGCCUUCCUCGUCAUCAACGCGGCCGUCGUCACGGCGGCGACUGCGGCCACCGCGGCGCCGAUGCUCCGCCCCCGACGCCUCCCACUCCUCAAAAUCCAGGUCCCCCAGGUCAUCAUCUUUCUUGGCGCCGCCGCCGGCGGCGGCUGCGGCGGCCUGGCGACCGAACCGCGGGUCGUUACGGCCCCUGCCGCCCCGCCACCCUUCACCGCUGUCCGGGUCGUUGCCCAAACGGCCGCCGCGGCCACCGCCCCUCCUCCACCCUCCGGCUCCUUCCUCGUUGCCACUUUGGCGGUGUUGGUGGUUUUCAGGUGGGUAGAACUCCUUCAUGGAGCGGCGGUAGGCCGGGGAGGAUCGGGCCUGAGGGGCGGGUGGGCGGGUGCGGGAGGCAAUCAGAGAGAUCUCCGGUGCGGCCCCAGAGACACCUCCCGGUGUGCGGAACUGCGGAACUGUGCCGCUUCCAGAGUGUGUGUGUAUGUAUGAUGUGUUGUGUGGGACAGGGGGGUCAUAUCUUCACCCUGCGGCCGCUACCCGGCAGACCCUCUGCCUCCCCCCGCGGGUAUUUCGGGGCACCCUCAUCCAGUCACCCAAGUCAACUUCUCAGUGGAUCGCUCAGGUUCAGCACCCACCGCCGGCAUUCAACGGAAUCUGCUGGGUCGACGGCGGCUCAACUCCAUUCCUGGUCAGCUCGCAAGUUAACUUUUAUCCCAGAUCACCACCGUCCAUCGACUAGGGCCCCUUUACCUUCCACCAUCGGAAAGAUUUUCGACCCUGACAGGUCUCGAUCCCGGAACCUCCGGCGGCAUCGAUGUGUGCUUUACCAACAAUGCCGAACUUAGUAUGGUGUGUGCGUGUGUGUGUGUGUGUGUGUGUGUGUGCUUUCACUGGACGGCCUCUCGCCCUUCCCCUCUCGCCCUUCCCCCGGAACUCACCUCCGCGGUGUACGGACCGCCCUCGUCAUCGUCAACGUCCAACAACUGCUGGUUCUCAUCAUCCUCAUCGCCGUCACCACCCUCUGCAGACCCAGCCCUCCGCCGCAGACCCGGGCGGCCCCGCGACGUCUCCGCCGCCCGCCGCCGUGCGCCGCCGCCGCCGCCGCCGGGGGGAAGAGGCCCUGCGGUGCGAGGAGGCGGCCCAGUGGGAGGUGGUGGUAGGGGGAGGAGGGGGAGGAGGGGGAGGAAGCGUAAAAUGUCAAGAAAAAGGAGAAGGACAAGUCCGCGGGAGCAGGAAGGCAGGAAGUGCACUUCCUGGACAAAGUCUUGGUGGAGGAAGGAAAGAGUUUACCUGCAUAUGUGCAGUCGGAGCUGAAGGACGCAUGUGCGCUGUUGUUGUUAUUGUUGUUGUGGCCGUGUGCGCAGUCGCUGGCAUGAAGAAGAUUCGAUGCCGACCGCAACCCCGCGCAGCCGCACACCAAUCCUCCGCCUGGCACGUCUACAUGGUACCCCGGGAGCCUCCGGACCUCCUCCCCCCACCCCGCCGGGGAGCGACCGCCAGCACACACUCACUGGCAUACAGGCGCCGCCGCCGCUCCUCCUCGUCCUCCUCCUCCCCGCCAUCGGGCGCGAGCUGCAGAGGCAUCCUACGGCUCCUCGCAGCCCGCGCACCGCCGGAGCCGGAGCUGCCGGAGGCUGCCGCCGCCGCCGCCGCCGCCGCGCUCUUUGCUGCCGCAACAACGUCCGACGCCGCCGCGGCCGCUGCAGCCUGUGCAUUGUAGAGCGCAUCGGCGUCAGCGGCGGCUGUGGCGGCGCGCGGCCGCCGCCGUGGCGGUCUAUCGCCGUACAUCUCCGCAAUUUCUUGAGGCGUCACGACGCUGUUUCCUGUCUUACUGGCGGGGGCCGCACACCUGGGGGUGCGGUGCGGUGGGGUGGGGGGCUCGGGAUGAAAUAUCCCACACGACACAAGCACACAGGCCCCCUGGGUGAGGCCCCCUUUCCCUAGCCUGUGCACCCCCCUCCUUCCGCAUCCUCCACACGCGAGCUCACGGACACAACGCCCCCUGCCCCACCCGACUCCGGAAUCCCGUCGCGGGCCCCUGGCCCCCACCGUCCUGUAGCCCCCAACUCUCCUCAAACCCCCGAAACCCACCCCACCCUAUGCAAACCCCCCCGGCCGGGUCGGGUUGGGCAGCUGGUAUCCAUUUUACUUUGCAGAUGUAAUAACAUAACAGAAAAUUGAAAAUGAAAGUAGUAAUUUUCCUCCUCCUGUUCCCCCCCCUGCCCCCCCCACCUGAAACACUUGGGUCGGUCUCUCCAGUUAUCUGCACCGCACGUGGCACAGAACCAAUCCCCCGCCUCCAGUACGACACCUCGCUUCACUGCUUCACGUAGCCGUAUCCGGUGACUGCAUGUGGACGUACAUACAUACAUACAUACAUACACACACAGCAGGGAAGAGAGGUCUCGGGGUGCGUGAGGGGGCUCUAAGGGUCUCUCUUACGGGAUUGCAAUUCUGGAUCCCGCUGAGCCCACUUCAUCUCGCCCCCCCUUACCUUUCCCCCCCCCUUACCUUCCCCCCCCCCUACCCCCCCCCCACCCCCGCCUCACGCAAACCCACACNNNNNNNNNNNNNNNNNNNNNNNNNNNNNNNNNNNNNNNNNNNNNNNNNNNNNNNNNNNNNNNNNNNNNNNNNNNNNNNNNNNNNNNNNNNNNNNNNNNNNNNNNNNNNNNNNNNGCCAGGUGGCGGACGCACAUCAGCAGGUGCCGCAGCGCGGGCGUCAGAGCUGUGGGCGGGGUCGGGGUUGGGGUUGGGGUGGGGACCACGCGGGGCACGAAACACAGAAUCGACUGCUGCGGUGGCGGUGGUGGUAUUGUAAGGUGGCAGAAAGGGCGAGAGCGAGAGAGAAAGAGAGCGAGCGAGCGCGCGAGAGAAAGGGGGGGGGAGGCCUACUUGCGGCGAUUUGGCCACCCGGUGAGAGAGCUCGAAUGUGAGGAAGGGUUGGGCACAACGCGCGGUGGAAGUGGAGGCACCACUGGCACUGUGUGGACCUGCUCACGCACACGCACAUCUGCACGCACAUACACAUACACGCACACUUGAUCCCUCAAAACUCCCCCCCCCUUCCAGCGGUUCGUUCCCCGCCCCCCUCGAGGGUCCGGGCCUCUUGGUGGCGGGGGGGUGGGGUGGGGAGGGUAUCAUCGGAUUAGGAGACGUGCCCUGGUCAACAGGUCGGCCGUUCCGUGUCCGUCCUGUCAGAGUUUGUGUACCCGUCUGGGGCCCGGGACCGGGUUCGAGUCCUCACACUCCCCUCCCCUUUCCCCCCCGUCUCCCCACCGGGCGCCGCCGAAUCCACAGCGGACUGGGGCGCUACCGCCCAGUCCCCCAGCACCCGCAUGAGGUCCUGCGUGGUGGCGUGAGACUGCCCGGCACCUCCUCUCGCUCCCCCUGCUCCGCCGCCGCCGCCGCCGCCGCCGCCGCCGCUGGCCCCCACGGCAACAGUCGCGGACCGGCAGGCGACGAACGUGUCCUUCAGCCGGCGGUCGGCGUUCCGCAGCUUCCGGUCGGGAAGGUCGCGAGACAGCAGCUCCGCCUCCGCCACCGCCGCCACCUCCAGGGGGGGCAGGCUGAAGAGGAUGUCGGGGCGGCGGCGGGCGAAGCAUACGACGGCAUCCUUUACGUCGCCCAGUUGCUGAAUGAGCAGUUCGCUGUGCGGGUGGGGCGUGUGGUCGGGUCGGGGAAGGGCGGGGGGGGGGUGUCGGGGAGGGGAGAGGAGGGAGGGUUCCAUAGAGCUCAGUGGCCGUAUCAUGUGCAUGUGCUUGUGCGUGUUGAGAAAGGCGGGUCGCGGGACAUGUUCAAGGAGGAGGGGUUCAAGUAAAGGCAAGCGAAUGAACCCCGAACCAGACGGUAAUGGAAAAAACAAUGUGAAAGGAUAGAAGAGGUAUGUGAGCCAGGUGGGAGGAGGAGGAGAGGAACGGGAGGGAGAGGCGGCCUGCGGAUUGGAUGGGGGAUGGAAGGGGGCAAGGGUUUGUGCUGGCCUGGGGAGCGGGGAGCGGGGUGCACUAGGCCGAUCAAACCGCACAGGAGAGGGCAAGAGAUGCGCUGAAUGCAGUGACAGCAGCAAUUGCAUGUGGGAGAGUAGGAGUGGACUUUAAGGAUUUGGUUCGUACCCAAAGCGCAUGGAGUGCUCAGGACCGUGGAAGGAACGGUUCUACACUCCGCGAUAAAUCAGCGUUAUCCAGUGCACAUAUAUCCAAACGCACCGAGGCGUCUCUCGGUCUUCGAAGUCGCCUUGCUCGUGUAGGAGCCGCAGCAAAUCGUACCAUAUGUCAAGCGUGGGCGUCGCACCAUUUAACUGUAAUGAUUCCAAGCCAUCGUCUCUCGGCAAAGUAUCUGGAUUUGAGGAGCUAGUGCCACUUCUGUCAACGUCUGCCGUGGUUGAAUGGCCAUCUCGAGUAUGCCCCGUCGCAUUCGGAGCCGCCGGCUCGAGACCCCAGGCCGUGGGUGCUGGGGAAGAGGAUGGUGAAGCUGAGCAAAAUGUACGUUGAACUAUCUGACAAGAGAGCGCACGGCUGAACGCCGGUGUCGGCGCGCUGCAAGGCUGCCGAUGAAGGAACAAGCUGUAUCUUGUAAGCAUGUCCGAUAAGCUGUUAAAUGUCGUCUGCUGUUGCUGUCCAAAUGCAUACAGCAAUCGCCGAAAUCGUCCAGCACCACGGCUCAUACCGAAGCCGAAAGCACGCUAAGAAGAUUCGCUAAUUAUGUGUGAAUCCAUGCAGGUCCUUACAAGCGGCCAUGUUAUGGCAUUUGCUGAAACUACAGCAGGCGGACAUACGAAAAUGUCCUAUCACCGGUCUUGGGCGAAACAACUGCCACGACAAUACGGCAUAGGCCAACAGCAAACUCCAUUCCAUGCCAAUUAUUGUCCUACACGCCAAACGAUUUGCGCAAAAUCGUAACGAGCAUCAGGUGUCGUGGUUGGGCUAUGGUAUCCAUGUAUUACUAAGGCGUUUGCCUUUCGACUCGGUAUACGAUAACAGGAUGCACCACUCCUAUUCGACAAGUGACACCCCAGAUAAGAAAGCAAGGAAUGAACCAGAAACUUAUACAAAGGAAAGCCGCUUUCAAGGCCCCAGCACGAGAAGUUGAAACUCUAAACCAGAAACCGCCAAACCGCUUACCAUAUGGUCCGUAGCCAAUAAUGCUCACCGGUGGCUGCCAAACACACACAUCUUCGCAGCUUCGGAUUCGAAUCAGCUGGCGAGCCAUAGACCAGGCACCAGUUCGUUUCACGCCGACGCAACUUGCCGCUAUUGCAGAUCUUUGACGAUGGCCAGCGCCCCAAGCCCGUAGGAACAUGAAUCACUUCUACAGUCCCUACUAUUAAGAUUGGCACUAAACAGAGAGAGGUCAAUACUGCACAGCCCGCAAGAACCGACCUCUAUAAACCCGCACCCCAUGCCUCCAAACACACACCACGACAACCUGCGCGCCCCUACGCAACCCCACGCAACCUGCGCACCACCUAAAAGGAGCUGCGCGGGAACUCCUUGCCCUCACCCCAGCUGGCCACGUCCAGCAGCUCUGCCGAUGCCACGUCAAGGACCCACUUAAGCUUGCCGCCCUUGGGCCGCACUAGCUGCGCCGGCAGCGCGCCAGGCAGCGCCUGCACCUCCAGUACGCGCUGAACGAUCUCACGCUUGCUUUCGCCAAGCGCCACGACCGCCACUUCCUUAGCGGCAUUAAUCACCGGCAUAGUCAUGGUGAUCCGCUCCGGGGGCGGCUUGGGAGAGUCCUUCACUGGCAGCACCCAGCCUUGGGUAGCGGCGGUCUCGGGGCGGUUGGGGAAGAGCGAGGCGACGUGGCCGUCGGGACCAACGCCUAGGAGGAUGAGGUCAAAGACCGGGAAUCCGCCGUCGGCGCUGCGCGGGAGCGCCGAUGCGGGAAUGCUGAUGAGGCGGCCUUCAUACUGGGUUGCAGCCUGUUCCACAGGCAAGCCCUCCGCAAUUGCGUAGACCUGCGAUGCCGGAAUGGGUACCUGGGACAGCAGCGCUUCCUGAACCGCCUUGAAGGUGCUGUCGGGGCAGGUGUGCGGCACGUUGCGCUCAUCGACAAAGAAGAUGUGCGUUUUGGACCAAUCGAUGCCUUUCGCGCUGGCGAGGGGUCCCAAUAGCGCUGGCAGCGAGCCGCCGGAGAGGACAAGCGUGAAGGCGCCCUUGGCUUUCACAGCAGCCUGGGCGGCCUCGACGACCAGCUUCGUAAGUCCCGCCUGGGCCUUCUCGGGGGUAACAUACAGCAGGACCGAAGCGUCGGUUUCGGUGGUGUGGUACUGAAACUGGUGGGGGAUCAAGUCCACACCAGCACCCUUAGAGACGCUGACUGGCGCGACGGUUCCACUGGCCAUCAAGUGAGAUCCCAUAACCGGGGGUAUACCGUUUGGCCAACGCCCGUUAUUGGGAAUCAAAUUAAUAAAUGCCUUGCCGUCGUCAGCGCCCUCUUGCGUACGCUGAAUCAGCGGCGACUUCUCGGGAGCAGGCGAUGGAGCGGCAGGGGCUGCCUGGCAGCGAAUUACCCUGUAAGCACUACUGUGUCGGCCCGGCAGGCAAGGCUGUUGGCUGAAGCGCGUAAUGCUCAGCAUGGCUCUGUCGGCGGUCACUGCUCGCAGCUACUAAUAGGACUCCACGAAAAGAUUGAUUGCGUCCAAAGUCCUAUAGAUGCCAGAUACACAAUUCGGAAGCAUUAUGUACAAUUACCCCGACACCUGUACGGGAAUGGCCUCAUUGUGAGAGCUGUCAGAGCUUACUAUGACGAUCCGGAAGCGUUCCUGCCAGCUAUCGAUAUUACUUGGUCUUUGAAAUAGAUAAUGACGAGAGGAUAAAGGAGGGCUGGUAAGCUUAUCAGCUGUACGCAACACAUUUGGCGUAAAUGGCAAACGUUAAGAGCCUUAGUGAUUUGAAUGGAGAGGGUGAGGAUGACAAGGGGAAAUUCAACGACUAUUACGCUGGCGGAGAGAAGAGGUGUGUGCAGUUCCAAGAUCUAUGUAGACCGCUAGAUUGUGACAUGGCAUGCCUAUGAGUGCUUAGCCUCUUGCUUAUUAUAUAUUUCCACCUGCAGCGGCCAGCUGCUUCGAGGCGCCCCUGAGGAGUCGGUGAGUCCAAUUGCUUUGCUGCCUGGCCACCCUGGAAGACACAUGGAGGCUGGUUCUAACCUUUUCGAAGGGGGCAUCACAGGAUGACGAUGAGGGUGAUCGGGUGGAGGCUCUGUUCAACCGCGCUCGGCAGGCCGGCGCACGGGCGGGUACAAGCGAGGACCUGCCGGGGCAGCCUAAGGCUUUCCAUGGCCAAGGCCGCACGCUGGGCGGCGGACCUGUUCCUGUGAGCAAUUGUGGGCAGGUCAGGGAAGGCGUAGGAAGACGCGUCUUACCCACGAGCCCAGUGGGUCCGUGGUCAUAACGCGCCUCUGACGGUGCCUGCACUCUCCAGUUUGCGACCCCAGCUGGUCACUCCCCUUCCGGGCAGUCUGAAAUCCUCCACACAACUCGGCAAUCCAUCUCGUCGGGAUGCGAGUUUCUCAAUGGUGCUUUGACGCAUGGAUGCAUGCAGAGCAAACCCCCAGCUGAAGGACCUCGCAACCACGUCAUCACGUUUUACAACAAUGGCGUCUUCACGGUGGAUAAUGGGCCGCCACGUUACGUGGAUGACCCGGCCAACGCGAGGUUUAUCGAGAGCAUUUCCAAGGUGCGCAGGAGUGUCAAUUUCGCGGCUCCGAGCACACUGGCGCAUCAUUCCGCGUUGCACGGAUCCAGGUGCAUAGCACACCUGUUGGGGACCAGGGCUGUAUGAGAAGGACCUGUGGGGUUUCUUAAACCUGAACCCGAUCCCGAUGACUUUUAGCCUCAUAACUUGUGAAGACUGCAUUUAUGCUGGGCAAGUCAGGAACAGCUGCGCCCAAGGGCGGUCUCACUCUGCCAAUUCUCAUAUGCGGGUCCCCGUGCCUCUUGCGAGCGCGAUGAGGUCGCUGCGGCCAUGCCGCCAUGCCUGACACAUCCUGGGUGUUUGUAACGCGCAUCUUUGGUGAGGCUAGGUGAGUAACAGCACGUGCAUUUAACGCUGGCGGGUGGCUGCUUCGGUGGUGUGCAGGGGGAGUGCCCCGAGGAGCUUGAGACGGGCAAGCAUGGUGCGCCGGUAAGUUACCACUCGCGGAUGGCUUUGGUGGGUGGUCUGAGGAGAACAGGCAUGUGGCAUGGGCGAACAAUGCUGAAAAGGGCGUCACAGGUCGUCGCCAUGACGGGCAUACCUGAUGCUGCACGGACACGUUCAACAUAACUGUCGGUAAUGGAUGUGUGCGCGAGCGCCCGCACCCGCAGUCCUGGCAAUCCAUUCCAUGACACGUCAGUGGUUUCCAAGCCAGGUCGUCGUUGCAUCUGGUGGCAUGGCGCACAACUGGAGCGUACAUUGUAAGCCAGGCUUCGGUGCCGCCGCCUCAAGUAGCGAUCUGGCUGGGAAGGCCACAUCAGGUUCACACGAUAGUGUUUGUGUUUGCGUCAAAGACCGUGUCGGAUUUAUUUGCAGCCUGUCCUUCUGGACAGAUGCAACAUCUUCCGUACAAGCCGCAGUAUCGUUUGGAUCCGUGACUGUAGCCAAGUAUCCUGUUACCGCUGCCUCGUAUGACGCAGUAUCUCGCAAAGGUUUGGGUUUUUUUUAUGGUUUCGGUGCCCUUUUCUAAUGCAGGUCACCGUCAACCUCAUGCGGAAGGAGGAGCCGUACACCGAAGGGGAUAAAGCCAAGCAGUGAGUCAGCGUAUGGUUGCUCGGCUGAACGCUACUGCCUGGUCCCAAAGCUUGGCAAACUACAUUGAAGGAUUGGAUCAAAGCUGUUCUGUAUGUUUGCCAACUCUUUUCGAUCAAGGAUCAUUCGCAAAUCGGCAAUGCUGUGAAGUUUUCGUAUAAUGUUGAUAUCGUUAUAGCUAGAAAUAUGGGGCAUAUCCAUGCAUACAAGGUACCAAUCUACUGCACGCAUGAUUUAUCCGAUGGUAUUGAGCACACUUUUUACCCUAUCGUGACGUUUCGCCUGGAGUGAUUUUUUCAGAUUUGGGUUAUCAUAACUGCGCUUGCACAAAUGCGCAGGUAUUUCACUGGCACGGGCCGAACGCUGGGAGGUUCGUCUGGCGCCUCUACGAGUGCGGCGCCGCCUCCCGCUGAAAGCAUCUCGGCUGGCGAAUGGAAAGGUGUGGACGAAUCCAAACCUACGACAUCCCUGCAGCUGCGGCUGCCGGAUGGGUCGCGCAUGGUGGCGCGCUUUAACCACAGUCACACUGUGCGGGACAUCCGCCGGUUCAUACGUGCAUCAAGGCCGGACAUGACGGUGAGCAGUGAGAGCAGGAUCGACGUGGCUGCUGCUGUCUUGUACGUGUAAACUGCGGUUGGAACAUGGAUUACAUGUCCAGUCGUGUAUGAUGCCCCCAUGGGCUCUCGUAAAUGGCAGGGAUUUCAUGAUUUCGUGCAGCUCUAUGUUUCACAAAUUUCUAUUGGCUGAAAGAAGAGUGUCUGUAUCCUAAGUUGAUCCCCCGCCUUUCGAUGCCCUUUAGCUGCAUGCCAGUUUUUGCGCAUGUACUAGGCCUAACCUUGCUACAUGGCUUUUUAGUCAAUUGCCCUAGUUUGUGGCAUGGGAAGGGGCAUUUCGCGAGGGGAUCUUUAUGGUACUUAUUAUGGUACGUUGUUCACCUGAUUUGCCCGCAGACCUCCUACCAGCUGACGACUGCUUUUCCAAAUAAGGUCAUCGAGGGCGAGGAUCAGACGCUGGAAACCGCGGGGCUACUCAAUGCGGUUAUAAUUCUGAAACAGUAGGACCGUCACUUCGUCUUUCCUCCCCGUUCAGGGAGCGCCUGACGACGGAAGGAUCGAUCCAUCGUUUCCUUCCGGUAGGAAGCACGUAGUUGAUUUGUGAAAUGGGUAGGUAGUACAAUCGAAUAGCCCGGAUUGAUCCAUUGCUGUCGUGCAGGACAUGCGCAAUCCAAAAGAAAUGGUGUCGUGAGAUUAUGGGAACCUGCUACACAAGGCAUAAGCUUGCCGCCGGCUGCCGUACGGUUUCCAGAAUGGAUAUAUUGGGUAGGGAGUCGGAGCACGCUUUGUUAGCUUGUGGAAAAGAGCUGUGGCGAUUGUCAUUGUGGAAUGCUUUAUGCGCGCUUCUUGAUGCUCCGGUAGUUAGAUUACUAUGGAUGCAACUAAUACAACACUCAAGAGCUGAAGAGCAACGUGUAACAAAGGUUUUGCCAAAAUUUCGUCUUAGGAUAUAUAGCGAGCUCGGCCUCAAGACCACAGGUUGUGGGUAGGAAAGGUAGAACGGUUAACUUGCUGUACUGUAUGUGCGAUGGGUUGGCUUCCUAUCUAUAUACCGUAUUGGCGUUUCCGGCAUGGCGAGUUUCCUUACUAAACGCUGCUUGUUCAUGUCAUCUAUGUGGGCGUUUUCGCCUUUAAGGAUGCGGUGACAGACUGUUGGGCUCGCAAAACAACAGCUGACCGCGUGAUGACGCGCACGGAAGCUUUUUGUUACACAGUUAUCGACGCUAUUUUGUAUGGAUCUCCAAAACGAUAAAAUACAUUUCGGCUGACAAGUGUGGCGAUGCUCAACUUGUACGGUGCAAUAUUCGUACGCUAAUUUUUUCUUCCUCCCAUAGCUCUGGCCAUUAUCUAAGAUGUAAGUCUGGAUGUAGCUAGCGACUGUAGAACCGCACGUGGAUUCCGUUUACAAAUGCUUUUUAUCGCACGUCUGACGCACGUGCACGCGCUUAUGCAGCUGAAAUGACUUUUCGGCUCCGGAAGUCCAUUUUUAAAUGCACACCUGUGCGGUAAUAGGCUGGGUGCUGCUAUUUCAACUCAUAUAGCGUCCUCGAUGGCGAGAAGCCGUCCUUUGGGGGCAUAACACGGGGAGUGACACGAAUGCAAAAUCUUAUGGAGCCAAGCCAGUGGCUACGGUCACUGCUUUCAGGCGGUGCACCGUCUGCUGGCGCAGAAUUCUGUUUGGACAAGGACGUGUCUUACGCCCACCGCGUUGACAACGUUGCGGGCUGGUAAGCGCUUAGUGACUGAGGCAUUCCUUGUCAUAUAAAUUACGACUUGCUGACAAAGUCGGGCACUGGCUGUGAUAUCAACAAACUCGUAGGCCGUUGGCUCUGCAUAUACAUUUAGUCUUCCCUGCAAACAAGCCUACGUGAUGGACAAAGUGCUUAUUGCUUUGGCUUUCUUUUUCAUCAACGUUGUAUCAGCAAGCGCGGAAAACCCAUGCUGUAUCUGGGUUGCUUUUUCUCCCCACCCCGCGGAGCUGUAUAACCCUUGGAUUCACUGACCCCUCCGAACGCUGUCGCUCACAGGAACUGGUGCUUAGUACCAGAUGGCGGCUACGAUGCCGUUUUCUUCGCGGGCGUGGCCAUCGCUGUCAUGUGUUUGGCCUCCCCGCGUUGGGAUGCGCUCAUCGUCCUGUUCUUCGGAGGCAUCUACUUCACUUUUUCAUACUACUACAACUUGGAACAUGUCAGCAAUGCAGUCAUGCUUUGGCUGGGCAUGCGCCCAGCCGAUAUCUUCGUGUUUGUGUUUUUGCCACCUUUCCUGUUGGAUGCAUCCGUGCGGAUAGACUUCUUCAUGUUGAAGAAGGUAAUGCCAGCCGCGUGCCGGCGCGGGGCGCCUUUUGGAGGGCAUGAUCUGGCAGGGUUUUAAGAUUGGAGGCCUGCCGUGUGUUUGCGGGCCAGGGGGCUGGAGGGCACCAGGCCAGGACGGUGAAGCCGGUCGAUGGGCACUCGGGCACCUUGCCGCGCUGCAGCGGCCGCAGGCCAUUCCAGGCGGCAGGCGUCUGACCCAAAUGGGUUAUUCAGCGCAAUGAUGGCGUAAACUGUGAUUAUAUAUAAUUAAAGUCUCUUAGAGCACAUGCGAGCACUGCUGAUGGCUUCCGAGGGCAUUAAGAUGUUAUAGCACAAUAUGAACAUGCGCGCACUCGCCUGCUGUCUGUGUUGCCAUGUUCCCGUCACGUAGACGGCCCUGCCUUGCAAUAAUCGCUGAAGAUAUCUAGUGGUUAGUUGGCAGGAAGGGGCGCGACCAGAUUCUAGGGGGUUAUCAUCCAAACGGCGACGGUUUACAGCAGGACCAGGGCGUGGGUCCUCUCUUCACCCCUGAUGUCUAGCCUUGCCUUGCGUCAGCCGCCUGGGUAAGCGUCCAUUCCAUGACACAACCUGGUUGCCACAACACAGUUUGUGGUUAUAGAUCAGGGUUAUGUUUGCGGUAACACGGCAUGUUGAAUUGCGUUUAGCAAUAACCGAGGCCUCGGCGCCUAACCCGGAUACCCCGCCUUAGCAGCCACGCCCUCCCGUGUCAGAAGUUCGCCCCGCGCCGAAACCCCCCUGCACAGGUCGCCUUCAACAUCGCCUUCAUGGCGUUCGUGAUGGUGGCCGCCUCGGCGCUGCUGCUUAUCCCCUUCAUGCUCUAUGCACUGGACCUCAGCUCCUCCGGCUGGACGGCAGGCUACGUGGCGCUGUUCGGCUCCAUGAUUGCCUCCACAGAUGCCGCUUCCGUGUCCGCGGUGCUGCGCGGCGGUGAGCGCUCGCCGCGGUAUCGCUACAAUACUAGCUGAGGCACGGGAGGGGCAGAGGGCAGCGGCCCUGUUUCACUCCAAACCGUCCAAAGGGCAUUUGAGUUUAUCCAUGCGUGACGGCCAGGGGCUCAAACGAUUCGGCUGGAUUGCCAGGAUGCAUACAACUGCUGUGCCUGUGCCGGUGGCCGAGGUGAAGCCAGAAGCGACGGCUUUCGGCUCUAGGGAGGGACGCAUAGCGGCAUGUGAAAUUCCUGUAGUUGGAAGGGUGCUUGGGUUCAAUGGCGGAGCCCGGUUCGCAGAACCCGUCUUUUUAAGAAACAGCACAUGUUUCAAAAACCCAUAUCACUACGCCGGGCCUCUCAACUUCACAUCGGACGCCGCGGCUGCAGGCGGCGGCUCGGAAAUCCUGUCUGUGCUUCUGGAGGGGGAAUCGCUUUUCAACGAUGCAUCCUCGCUGACGCUGUUUGAGAUCUUCAAGGAGGUGGUGCUGGAGGAUGCCAAGACGACACUCGCGCACGACCUGCAGGGCAUCGUGGAGAAGACCGUGUGGUCCGCUUUCACGGGCAUUUGCAUUGGGCUUGCCAUGGGCAUUUUUACGCGGUGCGUGGGUAGGUGGAUGGGAACCAUGUGCAUGAAGCAAAAAAUCAACUGUCGGCGCCCGUGGAUGCGUGGGCGUGUGGGAGGGGUUGGUAUGUAUGUUGUUACAGGGUGGUUAACUUCGCCAGCGGCCCCUUUCCCGGGCAGUCCCUGCUCUCCCCUGCUAGAGGGGCACCCUAAUCCGUCACCCCAUCCGACUUCAGAAUGUAUUCGUUGGGUUCGGCAACUCACCACCAGCAUCCAACCAAAUUUAGCGGAUCAACGGCGCAUCAACUUAGUUCCUGGUCAGCUCGCAAGUUGAUUUAGGGGUUGGUAUGUAUGGACUGCCCCUAGAGCACAGCCCCGUGCAUUCAUUUGCGCCUCGUGUACUGGUAGACAUCGCUGGGCAGCACCGCGAGCUGCUUGGGGCUCGCGAUGACCAGGCGCAAAGGCGAUGACCAGGCGCAAAGCAUACGGCAGAUGGCAAAAGCAAAGUACCAUGCCGUACGACAUCCUAUGCCGUAAAGCGUAUGGAUGGGAAACAGGAAGCAUCACCCUUAUGGGCAUGUGCACUGAAGGAUCGCACCGCAAACACGCAGCAAGCAAAGGCAUGAUCAUUUUCCGAGCUGCUCACUGAACACCUGGACCUUUUUUAACUGCAGCCUGUCCUAACUGACAAUCCUCGGCUCAUUCCCUUCUUCGUCCCUCCUCCUUUGUAACUCGUCGGCGUUUCUUUCGCAUCCUCAUAUUUGUUCCGCACAUGUGCACGUUCCCGCGUGCGAUUACAGCUGGAUCUUUGCCUGGUUGCAACACCGCAACAUGGAGGCCACGGCGGAGGUGGCCUGGUCGGUGGCGGGCGCCUACCUCAGCUUUUACAUUACACAGGUGGGGUGGCCUUGUGGGGUCGUGGUUGUUGCGUCAUGCGUGGCUACCUCGCAAGGCGCACAAACUGGAAUAGGCGGGUAUUUGAACCGCCAUAGUCCGAUAGACCUGCGAGCUGGGCAACAAAAAGUAGUAAGGAGGGUUGAUAUGAAGUGUGUCGUUGUUCCAGUGGGCUCCAGACUCACGAAGAGUAGAGCCAGCGGGCCAGGUAUCAUGAAGUGACAACAGCAGGUGAUAAUAGUAUGGUUCCAAAGUUCCUGGCUAGGUUGAACAUGCGCCAUCAUAGCACCAUCAUGGCACCAUUAUGUGGGGCCCCGCCGCGACCCGUUUGCUGUGCAGGUAUGGUGCAAGGGCUCGGGAUGCAUCGGUGCGGUGGUGUUUGGGCUGUACGGCAGCUCCACGCUGCUGUGGGGCAUGAGCACCAAGGCGCGACUGACGGGCAUCUUCACCCAGUUUUGGGCCGUCAUGGCGUUCGUCAUCAACGGCCUGAUCUUUUUCUGUAAGUUCCGGGAGUUGCGAGGUGGUCUUCCGGGUCAAUCUGGCAUGGGACCGAAGUCUGAAGUUUGCCAAGUAGCAAGCUUGUACGCGUAGUACACUUCAUAUAGGGUUGAACCUGGUGCGGGCGCAUGCGGGUAGGUGGACCAGCAUCAGCCUGGGUCUUGGGCCGCGGCUGUUGUCAUGACCCUUCCGUUUCGCAUAUCACUUGGUAAACAUCAGCGCAGCGGGUAGCGCAGUAGGGUAUACGUGCGCGGCCCGAACCUUCUGGUCCCCAGCCCCCCUUUAUUAAUUUGCCUAAUCCCUGAUCGCAGACGUGGGGGCCUCCUCCGUGAACUUCACAAUCAGGUGCGAGAGGAUUGGGUGCUUUUGCAUGUACCAGCAAUGCCAAUACUAAUAAGAACGUCGCCGCCAUCAAUGGCAGCUCGCCUCCAAGCCACUAUAAAACCUCAGGCUUGGGCUUAUGGUUUGAAACUUGGAACGUGACCCUGGAGUUUUAGUGCAAAGCUGAGAUGUCAUCCCCUUGAAACCAGCGCCCCACGUGCGGCUGCGUUGUUCACAUCUCCCUUCAUGUGAGGUCCCUCCCUUGAUGCGGUAUGUGGGUCCAACACAACCACGCGUCUUGGCACGACUGGCAUUACCUUCCGCCAUGGUUCCUUGCAUCGACACCUAUGUGCCGCGAAUCCGUAUUCACCCAUUAUCCCCGUCGUAGCAUGUCGAUCAGAGGGUCAAACCCUUGGGCCCACUGGCUUUUUGAAUCGCCAUCGCUGCUGCUGCUGCUGCUGCAACUGUCAUAUCCACUGUCCUCAUGUUUCGCGCGUGCUACAGGUCCGCUCGGUCGCUGUAUGUGGACUCCGGUGGUAUUCCGUUGGUCAAGAUCCUGCUGUACAAGCUCCCACUUAUUUUCCUGGCGUCUUUCGCGCUGAGAUUCAUACUGAUCUUCGUAAGGUGAGCUUGACUUUCGUCCGAGCGUGUAGUAACGGCAGGGUCCUAGAGCCUAGAGCCCUGAAGCUUGACCACGUCUGCAUGGAUAUCCGGUUCUCAGGGCUUCGGUCUGUCGGACUGUUUGCCCGUUCCAACAUCUCAUCUGGAUCACCUCAAAUCCAGUUGUUGUUGUUGUUGUUGUCCCGCGCAGUUUUAAGUUAUUUCAGCUGGUGCGGCUGAGCGAGGGGUUGUCUAUUCAAGAGGUCAUAUUCGUGACGGUGGGCGGUCUGCGUGGCAGUCUGUCGCUGGUGCUGGCGCAGUCGGCCGCCACGCUGGCGUCCACUCACACUGAGGACGAGACCAACCGGCGAGUCAAGGCGGAGAUUGCGAUCUACACUGCGGGAUAUGGUGCGUGGUGUGGUGUGGUGUGGUGCGGUGGCAUGGCACGUAGGGGUGGGCCUGGCACGCUAGGGCAAUGGCAAUGUGCACACCGGAGUUGAGUUGUCGGCCAUUGGCGGUGGCACUGAAGAUGGAGGACACUGACGGCAGUUGGCGGUGUGGGAGGGCAAAGAGGAGCGGAGAGGAGCCAGAGGCGCGAUGGCGGUAGCUGCGCACAUUAGGUGAGGUCACGCAGGCGCUUGCGCCCACAGUGGGCGCAUCUCCGUGCCUGUCGACUUGCGGAUAUCUGUGUGUCAAGCCACAGCUAGUCGUAAGGCGCCUGGUCCUUCCGUGGCACACAGCCCCUGUAGCCUCCCUAUGUGGCCUCCCUAAGCUGCAAACGGCCCCUGCCGAUAAAGCUAGUGCACAUUUUGGGAAACUGGGCUGAUCACCCAGAGACAGACCUGCCCUGGUCACUUGCCACCGGCUCCCUUCUCAGGCAACCCUCUUGCGGACCCUGCAACUCCCUGCUCUGCCAACUCCCUCGCCUUCCUGCCUGCGUGGAUAUUGGCAACAACACACUGACAAUUUGCCAACAUUUCCCCCUCCACCCUGUCCAGUGAUCAUGACGCUGUUGAUUAACGCUCCGUUGUGCGGCCCGUUGCUGACACUGCUGGGUCUGGAUAAGGUCCGGCAGGAGCAGCUGGCAAUGCGGGGAGAGGUGAGGUGGUGUCGGCUGGCGGUGCUGGUAUUUGGACUCUUGCCUUGUGGUUGCUUAGCGCGGCUGGCCAGUCAGGUUUUUCUCAUUGAGGAUCGAGGACAUGGUGCGCGUGUGAAUGCGUGUUUACUCGCGUUCAUGGUAUGAGCAGAGUAGCAAACACACGUCAAAAUCUACCAUCGCGUCCACGUAUAUAUACCACACACACAUAUGCGCACAUGUGUGCGUCUACAUGUAUAGAAAACCCUCGUACACAUGUCUCUAUGCCCAAUCUAAUGUCAACGUUCCUCUUGCGCCAGCACUAUCAACUAUCAAUUAUCGACGUCCUUGUGUCUCAACCGCCGUAAGCUUAAAGCGCCCUUGCGGCUGGCCUGUGUAGGUUAAGAACUUGUUCCGCAAGUUCUCUUUGACCGCCAUCGAGGAUCUGGCUGCCGGUCAAGACGAGGAUGAGCUGCUCCAGGGCUUGGACUGGGCCAUGCUGAAGUUGCACACCAACUUUGACAAGCAGCUGGACAACGAGCUACCCGGUGAGGUCUGUGACGGAUACUGGGACUUGGACUGGAGCACGUGAGAAACCCAGAUGAGAAAGCUCUCCCGGAACCCUCCAAUCCAUCCCCAUCCAUCCUAUCUUGUCCUACCGGACCCCGUUAGACUUCACUUCCUUUUUUCUUCAUCCAUGAGUGUUUCAUUGCGUGACCCGUCGGGGCCCCUGCUCUAUUUUCCAAACCCACAUGUCCGCCUCGCCUGUGCGCAUGUGCGUUAGGCAUGGUGCAUGUUAUGGCUGGGGUAUAAUUAAGCCACGUGUUCAUGUGUGCAUGUAUGUGCGUGUGCAGAGGUCCAGCCCCGCGUCCGCUGGGUGUCUCGCGGCUACUGGCUGAAUUUAUUUACUGCACCCCUGCGGCUGGGUCGCCACUUGGCGGCAUGCCUCCGUGGCCGCUGCAAUCCGGAUGCUUUGGAACUGGAGUCGCGCGACGACAGGCAGCAGCAGGCGCUCAACAGGCAGCAGCAGGAGGCCGAGCUGAAGCGCGCAACAAACGUGGGUCGGGUUAGGUUGGGUAGGGGACAGGUUCUGGUGGGAUUGAGGGCAGCCCUUCGUGUUGAGAUGGCGAGGCCACUCCUGUCCUUCCGGCUGGUGUAUCCACCGGCCGCUGCGUGUACUAUUGCAUAGGACCUUAUGUGGCCGACAUGGUCAGAUGUCUUUACCGGUAAUUCUGCCAUAAAGGAUAAUAAUAAAAUCUCAUAAUAAAAUCUCCAUCCAAUCUCAGACCGACAGCCCUUUCAGCAUCAGCAGCAGGCAAAGUGCAGGUCCAACUGCACGCUGCAGUCCCUGCCUCGCUCAGCCAGCACGCAACUGUGACUUUAAAACCUUGUCCACUCUUUCGUUCGUCCCUUCCUCUUCCUGUCUUCUCUACCGCAUCACUUCCAUGUCGGUGUUCUUCUUUACCCAACAGCGUCCUAUCAAUCCCUGUUGGGUUGGCCCCGCAGAUCAACCUCCGAGAAAUCAACCGAGGCGAAUCACGGGCCCCGGGGCCCCCAAGCCGCUUGCUGUCCUCGCUGGUCAUUCGCGACUCCUCUGCCAACAUCUCCAGCGCGGGGACCCGUGGUCUCACCUCACCCGCCGCCUA